rnacentral:lncRNA from 1 species
CUAGCUGAAAUUUACCCUUUUUACCGUCUUAAAAUAUUUCGUCUACGAAUAAUUUCUCCGAAAUAAUCGUCCCUCAAAACACCUCUAGGGACCUUUGAAACUAUAAACUCAUUAACGAAGACGAUAAAACUCUUAUUAAUACCAAGCUAGUAAUUAGAAUAAAAAAAUUUAAGAGUCGAGAUGUGACAGUUGAGUAACGAGUUGGAAGGUCACAUGUAUUUGCAGUGUUCUUUUUCCUUAUUUAAUGAGUUGUUGGCUUAUAUUUGAGUGGCAAGUUGAGCCUUUUUGUGGGUAUUUAUGAUAGAGAGGACAUGUUUGUGAACAAAGGAUUAGGCAAAUUCUAGAUAAGAUUGGUAUUGGAAUAAGAGAUAUCAUAAGGGUGUUAAGUAAGUGUUGUCUUGCUUUGAGAUAAAUAGUUGAGUGGUAUUGCUUGAGUUAAUUAAUUAUGGACUUUAUUGGAUGCGUUAAAUGAGGCUGUUAAAGUUUGGUUUAUGCAUUGAAGUUGGGUUUUUGAAAUUGUUACUGGUCGAUUUACGUUUGGUAUCUGUAAUGUGGGAUUCGCCCUCCUACUUCUGUUGAGUGUUUUAGAUGGAUUGUAAGUGUAAAGGGAUUUGAAAUGUAAUAGUAAAGAGGAUGUGAGAUGGUUGUGGUUGCUCCGACUUUACGGCAACAGAUGGAGAAUUUAAUACAUGAUGUUGUUGGGUUUUAUAAUGUUUCGUAAGACAAUUGUGUGGAGAUGUUGGAGUCUCUCUUAAACUUUAUUUUGUUGACCGGAGACUGAACUUGGGGAAUGAAUUGGAGAAGAGGGAAAGUGCAGCUUUUGUGUGUAGGUGUCAGUUUUGUCAAUAAGGAAAAAGAGUUAUAGAACAAUUCAGAAUAUGGAGACCGAAAUUGUAGAGAUUGAUCGGAGCGUGGAUGAGUGUCCAUAUUUAUUUUAAGCGACAUUGUUUUGGGUUAGUUGAUACAAGCUAGUCUUGGACAAAAUAGUGUUUGGAAGCGACUUGUUCCAGCUUUUAGGUCUUUAGACUAUGGCAGGAGAUUACUGAUGAAUUUCUAUCGUCUAAAGGUAAUUUCAAUGUUCGAUAUCUUUAGUCAUUGGUGUUAGCAAGGUUGAAUUUGUAAGUUUGAAGUGGUGGUUGGUUAGGAAAUCGUGGUAUCGGGUCGAGUGAUUGUUAAGGAGAGAAGAGUGUCGGGAUAAAUUUGGAGUAGUAGUAUGUGUUUGACGAUACACAAGGAUAGAGCAGUAUAGUUGGAGUUGUUGAUCCUGAAAUAAUUGUUCUUUGCUUUAGCUAUUGUUGUUAGCUGAUGUGGAUAAUUCCUAAGAGGAUGAGUGAGAUGUGGAUCUUAAGGUAGUCUAUCCCAUGAUUGUAGCUUCUUAUUAGAGUAUUGCAGUGGUGAAUAUGACUAGUUGGGACUUGAAGUAGUUGUUAAUACUCUAUCAUAUUCGAGCAAUCUCGUGUUCCCACUUGAGCAUUACGCAGACGAUGUUGUGGUUGACGCACAGUCUUAAGAUGGAGCAUGUGACCGUCAAUUGACCAUUGCUCGAGGGUUAGCCCAUGAAUCGAGGAGUAUUUAUCUUUGGCAUCUAGCAACUUCGGCGACUUGAGCGUUGGACUCCAGUCUUGCGCUCGCAUCUUCUUUGGACAUGAUGGACCUGCGUGAUCAAACUAGUUCGAUCUAGCAAUCAAAUAGAAGAAAGGAAAUCACUUUACAUUAGAUGGGGGCAUCAUGAGCGGACUACCUAGUGUUGUUUGAUAGACUGCCAACAUCAGCUGUCUCGACACUCGAUUCGGUCAAUUUUGAGUUUGUAUUUUGUUUGUUAAUACGGUUAUCCGAUGGGUAACUUAGAUGAUUUGACUUUAGAGUUGAUGCGAGAAUUUCUGUACUUUGACAACUAUUAUUUUAUAUGAUUUACUUAUGGGACUUCGACAUUCGUUAACAACAACGAGAAAUUCAUGGGCAAAGCUCUACUCAGGAAACACGAAUAGGUUUUCGUGAUCCUUGGCUUCUUUAGCAACACAUAAUUAUGUGGAAGAAGUACAACUUAACGACGAUUUUUCUUAACAUUAUGCGUAAUGGCGGGGCCGUUACCCGAAAUUUCUUGUUCAUCAACUUGAGUUGAUAUACGCAAUCGCUAUUAUACAUGAUAAUAUGUGAGAUGGAAGUAAUCAAAUAGUGAACUUCCAAUGGUGAUCCUCAGAUUUCAUCGACUCGCGUGAGAUUCACUAUUUCGAUUUUUCCUCCGUUCGACAGACUAGUAUUAUUAAGGCGAAGGUGAUAAUUGCAGACACAUGUGUUGUGGUAAAGCAACAUGAAUUGUCGCAGCAAAUAGUGAACAACUCAUCUCUUCUUGUUCGUGGAAUAGGUAUUGUAACCUAAAGACUGGACUACAUGCACGUUAGAAUGAACUUGGUUCGUAGGAGCAGAUACUCUUAACUUCUAAGGUAUCGUCAUAUGCCAAGUCAUCAUGUUUUUCCUCAUAUUUGGAGGUGCCAGUUUUGGGUACGUUGAUCGGUUAUGAGGGUAAUAUUUUUCGUGUGCUUGUAAGUUGUUUGUUGGUGGCGACUGUUAAAUUAUUAAUGAGGGAUGUGAUUCCGUCGGUUAUUAUUGGUUGUUGAAAUUAUGAAACUACUUGGUGACUGAGGAUUUAGGCAUCUACCUACUCUUGCAUCAUAUAGCUUAAAACAAAACCCUAAAGGUCGCGAGUCUCUAAUAUUUUGAUAUAAGCAACAAUUCUUAUAGAAAUUAAAAACUCAACACCAAUCCAAUAAAUAAGUAAUCAUCCAACUAAAAACAUCAAAUAGUCAUGUUAAGGAUCCAUUAUGGCCCUAACAAAAGAUUUAGCUACCAAAAGUCAUAACAAACACAAUAAUAACAAUGAAAAACAUAAAAAGACUAAAAGGGAAAAAGGGAUGAAUAUUGGUAAUGACGGUUGCCUUAAGUAUGUCUCGUCCCAGAAGCUCCUUCUCUAUGAAAUUUGGGGCUCUUUAUAUAAGGGAGAUUUCCUGCCCAUCUUUGGCUUCAAGUUUCCUUGUAAGACUUGAAUUCAGACUUCUUUCUUGAUAUAGAAUGGGAAAACCUUGAGAUAUCUCUUGUAGAACUAGGAAUACAUGUACUUCUUGAAUCCUCAUAUGCAUUAUUGUCCUUGAAGCAUUAGAGUUGAUGAUCUUGUGCCAUGGAACUUGAGUUCUCCACAAAUUCUUGCAAAUCCGAGCAUAUUUUCUGAUCUGACCUAUCUUCAUUAAAACUAUCAUAACUCGGUCUAGAAGUAUCGAAAUUGAGAUCCGUAAACUUCUACAGAAAGUAGACAUCUGUAGCUUUCCAAUGAAAUAAGGCUUAUAUUCUGAUUUGAUCUGAGUAAUUCCGGGUAAUUUGGAGAAGUUGGAUGUUCUGCAUAGGUAGAUUCUGAGACUUGGGAUUGUAGUGGCCUUUCAAUCCUUAUUUGCGCAUUUUAGCUCAUUUUCUUCUCUCUACGACACAAACCUAUAAGAACACUAAAAUAACAUAAAUAAGUCAUAAAGAAGAGAACUAAACACAAAUCUCAAACAUAAGAGACUUAGAAAUAUAGGAUAAUAUCAGCAUAUCACAAGGCUUGACAGUCCGUUGGCAUAGAGGGUAAGUUGUGUAGGACACAUUAAAUGACUUUCUUGUGAUGCGUAUUCAUACGUGAUCGUAUUGUGGUGAGACCACUUUUGAUCCGUGUAGGACCUGGGAUCGGAGGUCAUUGUUGUAUGGAUAUGAUUUGAGAUACAAGAGAUAUUCAGUGUAAGGGUUUGGUAACAUUGAUCGCUUUAGCAUAAUCUGGCGACAAGGGAGAUAUUCACCAAUUAGCAUGACGAUUGAGGCGAAAGAUCGAGUUUUGUCUUGAUUAAUUGGUGACGAAAGUAAGAUGGUGUUGUGAAUUACGAAAUUUAUUGACCAUUUCGACUUGACGAAAGUCGAAGUUGUACGUGUGACUUGGGGUUGAGUAUCAUAAGUAGCUAUAAUUGGGCAAGCCACACAAUUAGUGGAAGGUAAGUCAAGGAGCAAGGUGUAUUAUGUGAGUGGUGUCAUGUGGAACAUUGACGGAGUAUUUCAGUUUACCCUAAGUUUGAGAUUUGUUAAAGCAUAUGCACUGUCACACCCCAAUUUUUGAAAGAUAAUUUUCAAAAUUUUUGGCAUGAUAUAUCUUAAAAUAUUACUAUCCCAAAACCUGCUUCAUUCAAAACUUCAAUGAAACUAAAAUUCAAUGCGGAAAUGUAAAUGUCGCACAACUCAGCACUGAGUUAAUUUCUACAUUUUCUUGUUUACAUAAACUUGAAAAUCAAGAAAAUGAACACACUCACAUGAGUUUUAACAAUGUCUACCCCAAAAAUAAAAUAUACAGUGAACAACAAAUCCCAACAAAAACCCUGCCACUAAACCUCCGUCUCAACCCUGCUGAUCCUCACCUGCAGGUCUAACCCCUACACCAAGAAUUGGUGCAUCGGGUUGUAAACAACAAACCCGGUAAGCUAAAAAGCUUGUACGAGUAAAUUCUCAAAAUAACACAAUAGCAAUUUAGAUCAGUAAUUAAAUCUGCAAUUCCAACACUAUUUCAAAUAACAUGUACCCAUGAGUCUUAGGUAUUAAUAAAUACCCCUAAUGACCUACAACAACAACUUGUGUACCCAUAGGUCCCAGAUACCAUAAGGUAUCUCCCAUGACCUACACUGACAGACGGACUAGAGCUCUAUUCCUAACCGCAACCAAUCACCCGGCCAAAGGUUUGGAACCCGGUUUGACUAUCCAAUAUCAAAACACAAAAUGAUAAAUAACAUCUUAACCGCAACCAAUCACCCGAUUAAAAGCUUGGAACCCGGUUUGGCUAUUUAUCCAACAAUCACAAUAUCACAACAUCAUCAUCAACAACACAAGAUCACAUCAUAAAUUAUAUCCUUCACAUAGAUAUAUUUACAUUAACAAAUAUAGAUAUUCACAAAGAUAAUCUAUCAAUAAUCAUUAAAAUUAUGGUCACAUGAACCUCAAAAAUAGCAUAUAAGGAAAAAUUGUUUUAUCUUACCUAUGAGCCGUUGGCGAUCAAGCUCAUCUAUUUUUUUUAAAACAAUUAAAAGCAUAUUAUUAAAUCCAACAUCAUCAUCAUCACAUGACCAUAAUAAAAUUUGGUUCAAAAAUGAACCUUGGUGAGAUUUUACUCACCUCAAUAUUCCGCUGCGUUUCCGCAAGGCACAAAAAUAAAGCUAACCACAACCUCACAAAACACCUAAAAUUACACAAAUAAAAACCUUAGUAAAUUCUCAACAAGGAACAAAUACCCUUAACCUAAAGGUUGCCCAAAGAAGGGCAAUCCUUCCUCCAAGACCUCCCAAGGUCAUUGGACACUCAACCAACAAACCAUACUACCUCCAAGAACAAGUUUUCAAAGUUUAUGACCUAAGAAACACCAAGAACAACAUAGCACCUAAACUACCAAAACCAAAACACCACUUAGCCUUCACACACAACAACACAUUAGUAGCUAACAAGGACUAGCUAACACGGCAACCAAAGCCCCCACAUUGCCCGGACGUGCCCCUACGCGCCGCCACGAGUGAGCCCCACGCGCCACCACCAAACUCAAUAUUUGAGAAAACUCAAAACAUCAAAGUUGUAGAUUGAAAGGAGGGAAACAUCUUUUAUAGCUAAUAGUUGAGCCAGUUUGGCCGGAAUCGGCUGGAAAACGCCCCAAAAUCGAAACCCAAACCUGCAAAUCCGGGCUCAAAACCUCAAAAACUUGCUUCAAUCUAUGCCUAGCCAUAACUAGAAGGAGGAGAGGAUCAAAACGCACCUAAGGUUGCCCCUUGUUGCCGCUGUAUAUGGCGGUUCCGACCGGUAGCACAGCAGCGCCCUUUGCCGGCCAAAAGCUUCGUUUCCAACGUGCUACACCGAGCAGCAGCUGCUCAGACUUGAAGAGGGCACCUGUGGGAGUCGAAUGGAACCGGCGGCGGUCCAAUCGGUGUCCGGAUGACGGAGAUAGCUCCAGUCAAAGUUUGGUGUGCGGGUGAGCUCGGGAGCGGGAGAGAGAAAAGAGAGAGAACUGACUUAGGGUUCCCCAAAAUUAACUCCCACACACAUUUUUCUACUUAAACACUUUCCAAACCCGCAAAUUAACUUCUUCUGACCAUAACUUUCUCAUACGACAUCCGUUUCAGGCGUGCCACAUAUCUACGAACUCGUAUCGACAAACUCUACAACUUUCAAGAAGGAAGUUUUCGAAGAUAACUUACGGAAAAUAAAGUCAACUUUUAGCCUCUUAAAAGUCAAAGCACCUUAAAAUUUACUCCCGAAACUUCAACUUCGCACAAACUAAGAAAUUUCCAUAAAUAAUCCUUCAUUAAUAUGGGAAUAAUACAAGGAAAAUUUAUAUGAAAAUAUAGGGUAUUACAUGCACGCCUCGGGUUUGGCAGAUAUGUUACGACGUGCCAAUGUAAGCGGAAAAAGGAUUCGGUUAAUUGUUUCCACAAGUAAAAAAAAAAUGUGUACUUUGUGGUAGAAGAAAGUUUGAAGAGCAUUGUUGUUGGUACGAUUUUAGCCUAGCGCUUAUUGGAGUCUGAGGUGAAAAGAAGUAAUCUCUACCCCUUUAUAAGGAGGGGAGAUUGUAACGCCUCGGACCUUAAUUGACCCGUUUAAUUAUCGUCAGUUGGACCGUAAACGACUUCAUUUUUACUUUUACCCUUUCUAAACAAUUUAAGGCUCCAAAAGUUGACUUUUUCUUUCGUUCAAAAUUUGGGAAAACUUCCUCCUUGAAAGUUGUAGAAGACGUUAAUACGAAUCCGUGGACAUGCUAUAUGUUAAGAUCGGAGUUCGGGGGUAUAAAAAUGGCAACUUACUGUUUGAGGUAAGGUAGAAAAUCAAAAACUUACCUUCUCCUUCUCUCUCCUCUUCCCGCGUCUCUCUCCUCCGCCGGAUUCCGGGCCUCCGUCCGGCCGAGUUAGGCGGCAAGGUGGGUAUCAAAUCGAAGCUUGGACCAUCCUCCAUCAAUCUGGGUAGGUUGCUGGACCUAUCUCGUCACCGAGAAGGAGAAACCACGCCGAGAAGAUGCAGCUGUGUGUGGUGGAGUUUCGCUGGAAACUUCCUCCUCCGGCCACCAUCAUUGGAGAUUCUUGUACCAACUUGAAGCACUCCUUUCGGGUAGCAAACCCUCAAAAUAAUUCGACCUAUUUCGAUCUAGGAUACGAGGAGACCUCGCUUAGGUGGCGAUUCAGGUAUCGUCUGGUUUAUGCCUAAAUUUGUGAGUGGACACUUUGUUUUUAAAGGAAUAUGCAUGCAUGAUUUAUUUUGGAAAUUAUCGUUCUAUUUUCCGAGCUUAUAUUAUAAUUUCGGUUUUAUAAUAUGGUUUUGAGAUUUAUUUGAGUUUGAGGCAUUGCUUAAGUGUGGUCAUGAUUUAUGGAUUUGAGCUCGGGUUAUUAAUUGGUAUUUGAGUUUUGAUCUUCUUUAUGAUUUCCGAAUUUAAUUAUUAUUGUUUUAUUUGUUGACUUUGAGAUUUAUAAAAGAUUUUCGAAAAAUGAGAUUUUCGGUAGUUCUCUAUUAUAAUUUUAUCGUUUAUUUUAUAUUUCACAUCAGAUUUUAUAAGUAUGCUUAGUUACAAAAACAUCCAUCAAUUAUUAGGGAAAAAAAAAAAAACUAGCCUCUUCCUUAAAACCUCUCAACUAUUACUACGCAUCAAAAGAAAAGAAAUAAAAACCUCUUCUCUAAAAUUCAUCACCUGAAUUUCGACUACUGGCGUAAUCACAUAUGUACUAUUUACCGAAUCAUUUGGUUUUUUUUAAAUUUUUUUUUAUCAACUUUAGUUUUUAUCUUGUAGACUAAAAACUAGUUUAAUUUUGAAUUAAAUUUAGUUUACCCCACUGUGGUUUAGCGGUGAAUUCAUGUUAGUCCCUAAACUUUCAAUUUCAUCAGAUUACCCCCCGAGCUCUUAUUUUUCUUUCUGCAGUCUCCUAUUACUCAUGUUCCGUCCAAUUGGGAUGUUGAAAUUUGAUGACGUGUGAUGACGUUUUGGGGGGUUGAGAAGAUUACCAGAAAAAAAAAGAGCUCGGGAGGUAAUCCGAUGAAAUUAAAAGUUUAGGGACUAACAUGAAUUCACCUCUAAAUCACAAUGGGGUAAACUGAAAAAAAUUAUGUAUGUUCUAGUAUUUUUAUUUUCUUCAAAUUCUAGCCGAUUAAUGUCAUAUUGAAGAUUUGGAGUUCGAAUAUAAUAUUACUCUUUUAAUUAUAAAUAGAAAAAUAUCAAGAAAAAAUUUCUAACCUAAUAAAAAAAAAAUCUAACAGCAAAUAAAAGAGAAUACGUAAAGAGAGUUGUGAAAUAGUAAAUAUGUAAUAAUUAUAUUAAAUAACAUAUUAUUAUUAGUUUUAGAUAUUGAGGGUAUUUUAGGCAGUUUGAGAUGUGUAUUUAGUAUAAUAUUUAAAUGAAAAACUAGAUGGGUAGUGUAUUAAGUAAGGGGUGUGUAUUAAGAGAUUAAGGAUGUGUAUUUAAUAUUACUCCCAUUGAAAGUAUGCUGGUGAUGGAAGAUACUGAAAAAAGUUUAUUGGAUAAAAUAGCAGACCUGGAUAGGGUGGCGCUAAUUAUCAAUCUCUGUAGAUGCAGGAUGUAAAUGCAACUUAAGUGUGACAGAAGCCAAAGGAUGAUCACUCUUCGAGUCUUGCAAUUUCAGUUUCAAUUAUGCCUUCUCAUAUUUGUUUAAGAUUUUGUAAAUAUUCAUAGUCUAAAAGAUUGCUAUGUGAUUAGUUUGGGUGUGAAUCAGUAAAAUGUUAAACAGAGACGUGUGACCAAAGAGUUUUUAUUUGAGCUUACGUAAAGAUUGAAGAAAAUGAUCUUCAUAGCAAACUAUACUUUGCCUACACAUGUCAAUUAAAAAACGAUUAUACACAUGCGUGAGCACGGCCCGAUGCGUGUACAGAAAGGCUAGUAGUAAAGUAAGUACAAGACAACUGUUCAUAAGGACUUGCCAAAAUGACAAUUCUGCCCUCAUUUACGUCAUAAUUACAGUCUUGGCAUCAUUCUCUAAAUUACAGUUUUGCCCCCGUUUUUCAGAAAUGGCGAUUCUGCCGUCACUUACGUCAUAAUUGCAAUCAUGCUAUCUCGCUCUAAGUUACAGUUUUUACCCCCCCCCUCCCGUUUUCUUACUUAUUUACGCUGCUCUCUCUCUCUCUCUCUCCCUCCCUCCCUCCCUCUCCCUCUCUCCCCACCCACGCCCGCAACGGAGCGCAGGUAAGCUACCUAGUACUUACUAGAGGGUGAGCUGUAUCGGUUCAAUCUGUCAAUUUGGAAUUAAAUAACUUUUGGGUGCUUGAAUAACUAUGGCAUCUGUGAGUAGGCUGACGAUCUUGGCCUAAAUAAAAGUGCAAUCUAUAAUGACCCACGCUCUGUAGGUGGUUUACGCUCUGUUGAAGAAUGUCAACAAAGAGCAUAUUGGCCUAAAUAAAAGUGUAAUUCAGAAAGAGCUAGAUUCUCUGACAAAGAAACAUGUAUUUGGUUUGGUAGUGCUUGUCAUGACCCAUCCCGAAUUUCAUCCUAAAAUCCAGUGUAAAUCUUGCGGGAUCCACCUCAAGGAAAACUUUACUUAAAAUUUGGCAUAACCACGAUCCUACCUGCUAACCAACAAAAACACUUCUAUAUUCGAAUUAAUCCAACCACAACACUUGAAGCCAUUCUGCUCCCAAUUUCACAUUAACACCGCAACACAUCUUAACUAAUUUAAAAACAAUCCCAAAGGUAAUUACCAGAACAAAUCUAAUAAGGAAGGAAAAACAUAGAUAAGAGAGCAAGCGAAAGCGGUAUUAUUGGUUAUGCCUCAGCUCCUUGUACGCCUGACCUCUUCUAAGUUAACCUGCAAUCUGAGCAUUUGAAACCGAAUGGCCCAAGGAAAACAGAAUUGAAAAAACGUUAGAGUGAGUGGACAAAAAUAAAUAGAAGAACUUAACAAAAACGUAAUUUAAAUACUUUCCCAUGUUUAAAAUCGUAAAAACUGUAGUGCAUGCAACUUUCUGAAUCAUUUAGCUUAACGUCCAAAAAUCUCGUAAGAAAAAUAAGCCAGCCCCGGUGGUUAAUCAAGUACAUAAAUGAGGAAUAAUACAAGAAGAAGAGAUAUCACCAUAUCAAAGAGGAGCCUCCCAGACCUGAAUCAAAGUGGAAAAAUAAGAUUCGAACCAAUCCCAUUGGUUUGAAUGAAAUAUAAAAAGGGAAGAAUUUUCACCAUAAAGAUGAGCCUCUCAAGCUAGGGUCAGAGCCUCCCAAGCUCUAGUAGCGACCCACGUUAAGUGCUUGACUCACCUAUGGUGAGGACCACAUAUAAAGGCUAGCUAGCAAUAAUAAAUGUAUAACAACCUUUAUAUAGUGAAAUAAGAAGGUCAAAUAGAGCUCACGAGAAAAGUAUCCUGGCCCACUAGAUAGAGCUCACAAGAUAAGUAUCCUGGUCCAAUCGACCAAUGAAUAUAUCAACACUCAUUGACUUGUCUCGCAUGUCAAAAUAUUCUCGAAUCUAUGAUUAUAAGCAAGAUUAAAUUAUCAAGUAUAAAUCGUAAUUAAAUUCUCAAACCGAAAUUCUCGUUAAAAUAUCUCAAUGUCAAGAUCAAUAACCCACAAAUAUAUGAGAAAAUUAUGAUGGAGAACUACCGAAAAUCCAAUUUUCGGUAAUCUUUUAUAAAUCUCAAAGUCGACAAAUAAAAAUUAUAAUUAUAGAAGAGAUAUUUAUAAAUUAAAUUGUUGCAUGCAAUUUAUUUAAAAUAAAAGCCCACUCACAGAUUUAGGCCUAAGCUCAAUGACAUCCGGAACGCUAUUCGUGUGAGGUCUCCAUGUAUCCUAGUUCGGAUCAAUUCAAUUCCUUCUGGGGUUAUGCUAAACGAGCCAUAAGCUUCAAAACCCGGUACUUGUCUCCCGGAUUGAUGGCUGGAAAAGUGAGAUUUCGACGAAAGAAGGUUAUUGUGCAGACGAGGCUUCUUGACUGAGUUUCUCUCCUAUGGUGGCGUUAUGGAGUCGAUCACCAACCCAGAUCAAUGGACGAUGUCCUAAGCUUCAUUUCGGCCAACUCGGCCGGACGGCGUUGAACGGCAGUGAGGAAUCCGCUAGAGGCGAGAGAUGCGGGGAGAGGAGAGAGAGAGAGAGAGAGUUUCUGAUUCAAAACGAAAGUUUCCCAAAAAAGCAAGUCUCCCUUUCUAUUUAUAACUACUUCCUUAAGCAGUACCUUUAGGUUUUUAGACCGUAACUUCUUCGUACGAACUCCGUUUUGAACAUGCCCACGUGUCAAUGAACUCGGUUUAACGUUUUCUACGACUUUCAUGAAGGAAGUUUUCUCAAAUUUUAGACAAAAGAAAAAGUCAACAUUUAGAGCCUUAAAUAGUUCGGAAACAACGGUAAAAGUAAAGAUGAAGUCGUUUACGGUCCAAUUGACAGUAAACGGGUCAAUUAAGGUCCGGGGCGUUACAGUGCUAACCGUACCAAGUGUAAAGCAUGUAGGACAUAAAUAAGACUUUGUCAAAAAGCGUAAUGAGAAGAAUGAAGCCCUAAAAGACAAGACUCGUCUUGUGGCGCCAAGGUUUCUCGCAACAAUCUAGAUUGACUACAAGAAGACAUGUUCUCCCAUAAUGAAAAUGCAGCUCAUAGAUGUGAUUACUACAUAUCUUCAUGGGGAUCUUGAUGGAGAGAUAUUUUAUGAAAGUGUUUGAUGGCCUUACGCUAUCUAACUCAAUUAACUCUAAACCACGGAGUGCGUUUGCAAUUAGAAUUGAACUAACUUUAUAAAAGUGACUACUUGGUUGGAAAGGGGUACAAAUGAUGAACUAUGCCCAUGCGUACUCAUAAAGGAAACGAGUUCCGGAUUUGCAAUUAUAGCUAUCUAUGCUGAUGAUAUGAACAUAGUAGAUACUUUUGAUGAAGUAAGAGAAACCUCAAGCUAUUUGGAAUCCGAAUUGAGACGAAUAAUCUUGGGAAACUCGGUUAACAACGAGUUUGUGGAAUACUAAUCCACCAGUCUGCAUGUGUCUGACCAAAAGAUUCUUAGGUGAAUUACUCAUAUGCUUGAUCACUACUAGCACUCCCAAUGAUAUGAAAUUUCUUCUCUAAAGUGCAAUAGGCGCAAUAUUGUACUUAACCCAAUGAACUUGACUGUAUUUUGCAUUCUCAAAGAACUUGUAGCUAGACUUAGCUUAGUGUCAACGCAGUGUCAUUGGAAGGUAUAAAGAACGUAUCCUGAUACCUAAAGGAACUACUGACUUGAGUUCAUUCCGGUAAUGCAAGGGAUCCCUAUAGAAAUAUAAAAGGGAAUGCAUAUGGAAUUGCAGCCCCCUACAUCAAUACACCAAACGAUGCUUUGGUUGGUUUUUACUAAUGUGAGGUAUCCAUGACCAAUCUGUCGUUUCCAAAUUGUUUAUGUAUUCACCUGUAGGAACACGACGAUACCUUGUGAGAAACAUCAGACUCUCCUCAAGAUUCAAGUGAAUCAAGAAAGGUCUGAGGAGAAUGGGACAAAUCUGUUUCUCAAAUCACAGCCUAAGGCUAUAUUUAAAAGGAAUGUAAGAAGCAGAGGAAUACGAAGACGUUCCUAGCUCCUUUGAUUGAUGUAAGGAUCAAGGGGAGUGUAGACUUCAUGGGGAGUCUAACACAAUACACUAUCAUAGGUAUGUUGUACUCUUUUUCCCUUCGGCCAAGAUUUAUUUUGUCAUACUAGGUUUUGUUACUUGCCAAGGUUUUUAAUAAGGCAACACCCCACGCACCGUUUUAACUUUGACUUGGCUUAAGGGGGAGUGUUAAAGGAAAAAUACGUUUGUGCCUUCGUGAAAGUAACUGAUGAAGAGCAAAUCAUGAGAUUAGAGGUAACCGAUCAAUCAUAUUUUAUUAGGUUUCGUUAUGUUGUACGUAACUUACCAUUGUAAUACAUGUAAUUCAUCCCAUAUAUAAGAGCAUCUCCAACAGCUCUUGUAAAACUAUGUUUAUCUCUAUUUUAGAGGAAAACCUACCCUUUUUUUUUAGCUCAAACAGCUCAUUUAAACCAUCAUCUAUAAUGACAAAAAAAAAAAAGUGAGAAGAGAGAGAAUAAGAUCCUUUAUAUCUAUAGCAUUCUUAAAAUUUGUAUAUUUCAUAGGCUAAUCUCUAAAAUUUAUUAUUUGCCUUUUAAAAAUCACUAUCUCCCCUAAACAAAAAAAAAGGAAAAAAAUGACAUUAUAUAUCCCUUUAGUGGAAAAUGGAGAAAUUAAAGCAUGUAACAUGUGAUUGUGAUUUGAAUAAAUAUAUAAUACUUAUUGUAAUACCCUAGAUUUUCAUAUCAAUUUUCCUUGUUUUAUUUUUGGAAUUAAAGAAGGAUUAUUUAUGGAAAUUCUUAUUAGAUGUGCGAAGUUGAAGUUUCGGGAGUAUUUUUUCUUAAGUGCUUUGACUUUUAAGAGGCUAAAAGUUGAUUUUAUUUUCCGUGAGUUAUCUUCGAAAACUUCCUUCACGAAAAUUGUAGAGUUUAACGAUACGAGUUCGUAGACACAUGGCACGUGUGAAACAGAUGUCGUAUGUGAAAGUUAUGAUAAGAGGAAGUUAGUUUCCGGGUGUGGAAAGUGUUUAAGUAGAAAAAUGUGUGUGGGUUAUUUUGGAAACCCUAACAUAAAUCAGUUCUCUCUCUUCCCACUCUCCUCACUCUCUUCUCUCUCUUCUCUCUCUCCCUCUCCCGAGCUCACCCACACACCACACUUUGGCCGGAGCUAUCUCCGCCGUCCGGCCACCAAAACGGACGCCACCAGUCCCGUUCGACUCACCCAAGCGUCCACUUCAUUUCUGGGCUGGUGUGGGGCAGUGCUGCAAGCCGGAAAUCAGAGCUUUUGGCCGGAAUUGAGAGCUGCUAUGUCUCCGGUCGGACUUGCCGUUUCCGGCGGUGAUGAAAGGUAUCCUUAGGUGAGUCUUGAUCCUCUCCUCCUUCUAGUGGUGGCUAGGCAUAGAUUGAAGCAAGUUUUUAAGGUUUUGAGGCCGGUUUUGCAGGUUUUGUAGUGUGAUUUGCUGGUUACUGUUCGGGGCAGUUUCCGGCUGGUUCCGGCCAAAUUUGGUCGAAGUCUUAGGUAUGAAAGUUGUUCCCCUUGCUUCAAGCUUCAACUUUGCUGUUGUGAGUUUCUCCUAAAUCAGAAGUUUGGGGUGGCGCGUGGGGCCCACUCGCCGCCGCUUGUGGUGGUGCGUGGCAGCGCGUCCGCUGUGUGGCAGCCUUAAUUUCUUGUGGUUAGCUAGUCCUUGCUGCUGUGAGCUUGUUGAGUGGUAGUAUGGCUAGAUUUUAAGCAAGGUUGCCAUGCUAGGACUUAAGUUUAUUAGUGUUGGCUUGGUUGGGUUAGAGUUUAGGUUUUGAAGAGUUGAGACAGCUCUAUUGUGUCGUUGAGUUCAACGACUUUGGGAAGUUGUCCUCCCUUGAGAUAAGGGUUAGUUUAAGGGUAUUGUGUUAUCCUUUACUGAAGGAGUUGUGUCCUAAAACAAUCAUUUUGAUGUAAUUAUUAUUGUAGUUAUUAUUAAUCAAAAUGGCAAGUUUAUUGUUCAUUGCUUAUAUUUAAUAUUUGAUUGAACAAGGUCCAAGGAAAUUGAGUUAAAGAGAAAGCAAUCUAAAGAGUUAGAUGUAUGAGACCUUUACUCUUUUACACUCUUAUCCUAAAUGUUCAUAGUCAUAGGAUUAUCAUUUGGACAUUGUUAAUCCGGAAAGACUAGCACAUGCUAUGUAUGCUCAAUAUGGAGGAUGAUAUGUCUCUUGUCAUUUGUGUAGAGACACUAAUACAAGUAUGUGAGUGCUCUUAUUUUAAAGAGUACACUGAACGCGAUCGUUAGAGUUCUUAUAUGAAGUUUUACUUACAUGUCAAACUUGAACUCUAAAUUGCAAUAAUACAAAUUAGUUUUUUGACCUGAGACACUAUGGUUGUCUUAUGAAUGAAUGGAUUUACUCUUGAUGAUGCAGUAACAUUAUGUCUCUUAAUGGAUAUGAUCCAUGCACUCAUUGGUGUAAUCAAUUCGCUCAUAGAGACAUGUGAGUGUACAAUAAGGAAUCUCUAUCCUUAAGUAAAUAAGGUGUAUGUUCAAAGAUGUGAUUCAAAUAGUCUUUGGCCAAAACAUUGAAUACGAUUAAAAGAAAUUUAUAAUCACAUUCUACGAAUCACAUUAGGGGAUUGACAUACUACUUCUAUACCCCGAUGAUGUGAUUUAGAACAUCAUAUUAGAGAAGAACCCAAUUGUUUAGGUUCCUUGUCAUUCUAUAUUAACUAGGGUAGUCAUGAUAUGUAGCAAGACGUCACUCAUGACUUGUGAAGUCCCCGAGGAUUGAUAAACGUUUAUAAUCCUAAUAAGAAGGGAGAAUCAAAAUGGAGUUUUGAUUCGUAAACGAAAUAGAAUUGUUCUACAAACUUCACUGCCUUGUUAAUUAAAACCUAAGAGAUCGCACACCAUAUAAGUGGAUCAUUGAGAUUGUAUAUGAAGAAGAUUAAACAAGAGUUGGUUAUGACCAAAUAUUAAUUAGAUUUAUUAUUUGGACAUAAUUAGGAUCUUCGGGUAAAACCAAGCUUAUUGGGCCUAACCGAUUGUCGGGCUUUUUUGGUAUGGGCUUAGGCCUCACUAAAGGCACAUUUUUAAAGCCCAAUAAUACCUAUGGACCAAUCAACUAUUUGGCUUUAUGAAAGUCAAUAUUUCACUUUAAUGUUGAAAUAGUUUCCAAUUAUAUAAAGUGAAAAGAUGGACAUAAGGUAAUAUGAGUUUUCAUUUCUAUCUCUAGUUGAUAGGAGAACUCUCUCUCUUUCUCCAUUUCAUAAGUUGGUAACAAAGGAAGAAAGAAUACUUGCAUACUUCUUUUAUUCCUUUCAUCUUCUUCAUCUCUUGAUUUACUUGGUGAAGAUCCUUAGAGGUCAUAUUAUUUUGUGGCUUUAAUUACUACAUCAAGGAAGAACUUACUAGCACAAGGAGUUCUUAAUUAAGGUGUAUCAAGGUGGAGGAAACACACACAAGGAGAGAUCAAGGAGAAGAGCUUUGGUGGUUCACUUGGAUCGGAUUGAAAUCACGCUCCAAGGGUGAGUAGAACAUAAACUCCCUCUUAGUUCUUCCUUACCAUAUAUGCUAUGUUUAUAUACAUAUCACAAUAAGCCAAGAUCAUGGGUUAAAGGAAUGAAAUUUAUGUUUAGUUAGUAGUUUAAUGGUUAAACUAAUUCCGCACUAAUUAAAAAGUUUUAUUAUCCAUCCAUUCCUUCAAUUGGUAUCAGAGCCUUUGGCUUAAUUUUGAUGUGUUAUAAACAUGGCUAAGUUUAUUAGUUGAUGUGAUUUUCUUAAGCUUAGGGUAAUAUGUAAUUUAGAUCAUAAUAUUUGCCUUAGCAUAAAAGUUAUGAAGCAUGUGAUGUAAGGUAGAUUUUAUGAUAGUUAGAAAAAUAUUCUAGAAAUUACAUAUAUGAAGUGGUUAAAGUUUAAUUAAACUUUAGUGCAUAUGAGAUAUGUAUUAAGGGGUUGCAUGUUUCUUUAUUAAGGUGUUAAUUGUAGAAACAUGAUAGGUUAAUUAUAUUUAAGGGCGUACAUGAUUUUUUGGCUUCAAUGAUUAAGGAAACAAGAGUUCAAUGGAAGAACACAAAGCUGAAAAUUUUGUUUCCAGUUUUGGUACGUGAGAAAACUAAUGAUGUUUUCAUGUUGUUUCCUUCCUUAUUGACCCAUGUAAUCAAUUCCAUGUUUCCCUCACCAAAUACUUGGUAGAGUAAGUCAUCUUUACUAUUGAAAUGUGAUGACUUUCAUGCAUGUUCAAUCACCAAAAGUUGAUGCAUGAAAAGGAAGACAUGUCUCCCUAAAUCACUCACCAAUAGUUGGUGAUAAAAGAUAUAAGACAUCAUCCCUUAAAUCACUCUAAGUUCCAUCAAUCAAAUAGUUUGACAUGAUGAACAAUAAAAUCACUCAAUUAAUUUACUUGCAUUAAAUUAAUGUAAUUUAGUGAUUAAUUUAUUUUGAUUAAGUUAAUAGUACUUGUUUAAUUAACCUAAUUAAUCAUGGUUAAUUAAAGGAUGAUUAUGGACUAAGGCCUUAUAUAAUUGAGCAUGAGAUUAGCCGUCUAUUCAUUUUGAAUGAAUGAGGUUAUGUAAUUAAAGUAGUUAAUUCAUUUGGGUUUGUAAUAAAUUUAAUUUAUUCAUUUGGUUGUGUAACUAAGUAGUUUAAUUUAUUCAAGUUUGAUUAUAUUUAAGUGGGAGCUACUAUGCCCCUUAUCCAUACUUGUAAUCGAAGACGGAGGCACUUAAGGAUGGACUAAAGAAUGAGCUUGAAGUCAUAUAGGAGUUCAAGUGCAAAGUGUAAUAAAUUAGUUUAGCUUAGUUAUUUAAUUUCCGUAAUCGUUACGCGUAAUUAAAAUCAACCACACCCAAACAUGACCUUGAUCCAACAUAUUGGCUCCUGUUGGAUCAAACUUCAAGUCCAUAAUCAUCAUGUGUGCCUUAAUAUGAUUGCAUAUUCAUUUCACUUGAUUAAAUAAUUUUAUACUUCUCUUAAUUUCAUUGAAAAAUGUUUUCCAUGAAAUCAAAUUGUUUUUCGAAAACAAUAAGUGGGAGUAUAUUUACUAGAAAUCAAGUAUAAUGAACAUGUGAUUGCAUUAAUGUCAAAGCAAAUGCUAUUUGAUUGUUAAUAAUAAGAUUAUAAGAGAUGAGACCUUAAAACUCCCUCAAAAUGAUAUUAAGUUGAAAAACGAAGAAAGGAUUAUGAAUACUUCUUUGUGGCCUUCCAUCAUUGCAAUCUUUCAUUAGAUGUUCUUGCAUGUGAAUAUCAUUCCGAACGGAGGUAUUUCUUGCUAUGGAUAUCGAAAGGAGGUUAUUCGACAUUUGAUGUUGUAAGGUAGGGGACAAAUCUUGGUCAAUAUUCUAUUAUGAUGAGAUUUAAUUUUUGAUCCCUAUACUUACAUGAGAUGAUGGGCAUAACUUAACUAGAGUGAGUAGUCAAUAUCCUAUUAUGGUGAGACUUAAUUACUUUAGAGGCCAAAGUUAUGGAUAUUCACAUUUGAUGUGAUUGGAUAAGAGUAUCCUCUCAUUGAAAUUAAGUCGACCUAUAGUUCUAUUAUGAUUCCGUUGGCUUAGUGGAAGUGAGUCUUCCAUACUCGCUAAGAGUUUAUAAGAUCGACUCUCGAAUUCCGUGAGGGACUUGGAAUUUGUUAAAAUAGUGAGCGGUGCCAUUUGAUUCUUAAGACCUGAGUCAUUUGGUUUAAAAUUAAUCUAACUCACUUCAUUUUAUGUUAUGUAGAUUGCAAUAUGUCAGAACAUCCUAUCACCAAAAUUCUCAAUGAGAAUCGUCUUGAGGGCCCAAACUUUAAUGAGUGGCUCCGCAACUUGAGAAUUGUUUUGACAUUCGAUAAGAUCGCUUAUGUCUUACAAAAUGCACCUCCUCACACUCCUUUGGCUGAAAAUGGUGUUGCUUAUCAAAAGCACAAGGAUGAUGACACUCAAGCUAAGUGUGUUAUGCUUGCAUCUAUGAACUCACAGCUUCAGAAGCAACAUGAGAACUAUGAUAAUGCCGCUUCUAUAUUGCUUCAUCUGACUGAACUGUUUGGUGAGAGAAAUAGAAAUGUGCGCUUCACCGUCGUCAAUGAACUUGUCAAGACAAAACAUGUGAGGGGCACACCUGUGCAUCAACAUGGUCUCAAAAUGAUAGGUCUUAUUGAGCAAAUUCAAGACCUAGGAUUUGAACUUGAUGCGGAGCUAUCUCAAGAUCUUCUUCUAUCCUCCCUAGAUGAUUCAUUUUCUCAGUUCAUAAUGAACUACAAUAUGCAACAAAUGGAUCAUACUCUUCCUGAUCUUCUCAACAUGUUGGUAACAGCUGAGAAGCAAAUUAGGAAAGAGAGUGGAAGUGUGGCUAUUGUCACUUCAUCUUCAUCCACCAAGUCUAAAGGAAAGGGCAAAGGGAAGAAGAAACAAGUGGCAAAGCCUAAAGGAGCAAUCCAAAAGAAGAAGAAGAAGGAACAAAAGGAACCAAAAGGUGUUUGUUUCUUUUGCAACAAAGAUGGACAUUGGAAGAGGAACUGCAAGGCUUAUCUUGCAUCCUUGAAGAACAAGUCUUCAGAAGCAGGUAUGAUCAAUGUGAUUGAAUCAAUAUUUACAGUUAAUAAUACUUCCACUUGGAUAUUUGAUUCAGGUGCAUCUCACCAUGUUUGCACUUCGUUGAAGGACCUAGUGGGAGCAAGGAAGCUUAAAGCUGGAGAAAUCUCCCUACGUGUGGGAAAUGGUACAAGAGUUGAUGCCAAGGCCGUAGGGACUUAUAUUUUGAAGCUACCAUCAAGAGAUACAUUGGAGUUGAAGAAUUGUCUUUAUCUUCCUAUAUGUAUAAAGAACCUUAUCUCUAUCUCCAUGCUUUUGAAGGAUGGUUAUAGAGUAGUGUUUGAUAAACUAAGUGGGUUUGUAUCUAUUAAUGGACGUAUGAUAUGUCAUGCUAAUAUUAUUGAUGGACUUUUUCAUCUAGCUUUGGAUGCUAGUAUUAACUGUAUGAAGGAAAAUGCUUUGGGAUCCAAAAGAUCUCGAGAAACGGUUAACCCUAUUAAGAUGUGGCACCUUAAGCUUGGUCAUAUUAGCCAAGAUCGAAUUCACAAGUUAUCCAAAGAAGGAUAUUUAGAGUCUUUAGGAUCUGAUCCUAUGCCUACUUGUGAGUCUUGUCUAAAGGGCAAAAUGACUAAGUCUCAUUUUGGUGGACAAAGAACAAGGGUUAAAGAACUCUUGGGCCUAAUACAUACUGAUGUAUGCGGUCCAAUGUCCACUAUUAGUAGAGGUGGAUUCUCAUACUUCAUAACAUUUACCGAUGACUACUCUCGAUUUGGUUAUGUAUACCUUAUGAAGCAUAAAUCAUAAGCCUUUGAAAUGUUCAAAGAAUAUAAGAAUGAAGUUGAGAAACAAACCGGCAAGAGUAUUAAGGCUCUUAGAUCUGAUCGAGGAGGCAAAUACUUAAGCACAGAGUUUAGUGAUUAUCUUAAACAAGAAGGCAUUGUUUCUUCAUUGGCUCCUCCUGGAACGCCACAACUCAAUGGUGUCUCUAAAAGGAGAAACCGAACAUUGUUAGACAUGGUUCGUUCCAUGAUGAGCUAUACUGAUUUACCUAUAUCAUUUUGGGGAUAUGCACUUCAAACAGCAACUUAUUUGUUGAAUAGAGUGCCUUCCAAGUCUGUCCCACUUACACCAUAUGAGAUGUGGCAUGGGAAGAAACCGAGUCUUAAUCACAUUAAGAUUUGGGGUUGUCCAGCUUAUGUCAAGAGACUAGAAGCAGGUAAGCUUGAAGCUAGAUCAAGCAAGUGUUUAUUUGUGGGAUAUCCUAAAGAUAGUUUAGGCUAUUAUUUCUAUCAACCUGACGAACAAAAGGUGUUACUUUCCUUGAAAGAGACUAUGUCGUUGAUGGGAAUACUCAGCAAAUGGUAGAACUCAAGGAAGUGUCCGACAAGCCACAAGUUAACACUUCAAUUCUUGAUAAACAACUUCCCGAACCAACUAUAGCACAAACUCCAAGGAGAUCUAGUAGGAUCCGGAUACCUCCUGAGAGGUAUGGUUUACGUCAUGAAAGCCUUGGGGAGUUAAAUCUCCUUGGUGACAAUGAAAACUUACAUGAUCCUUCUACUUACACUGAGGCAAUGUUAGACAUUGACUCAAAGAAAUGGCAAGAGGCCAUGCAAUCCGAGAUUGACUCUAUGCAUACCAACCAAGUCUGGACUCUUGUUGACCCUCCACCUGGUAUUAGACCAAUUGGUAAUAAAUGGGUCUUCAAGAAAAAGAUAGGCUCAGAUGGUAAAAUAGAAACCUACAAAGCUAGGUUAGUGGCAAAGGGCUAUAAGCAAAGAGAGGGCAUUGACUAUGAAGAUAUGUUCUCUCCUGUUGCCAUGGUUAAAUCCAUUCGGAUAUUACUUGCUAUAGCUGCUCACUAUGAUUAUGAGAUAUGGCAAAUGGACAUAAAAACUGCCUUUUUGAAUGGCAAUCUUCAGGAAGAGCUAUAUAUGGAUCAACCUGAAAGCUUUGCGUCUAAAGAUAACAUUCAUAAGGUGUGCAAGCUUCACCGGUCCAUCUAUGGACUUAAGCAAGCUUCAAGGAGUUGGAACAUCCGUUUUGAUGAUGCAGUCAAAUCAUUUGGUUUCACACAAAACAUGGAUGAACCUUGUGUUUAUAAGAAGGUUAGUGGGAGUGCUGUUGUGUUCCUUGUACUUUAUGUUGAUGACAUCCUACUAUUUGGGAAUGAUGUAGGGAUGCUAUCUUCAAUUAAAGUUUGGUUGUCCAAGACCUUCCUUAUGAAGGAUCUUGGAGAAGCUUCCUAUGUACUAGGCAUAAAGAUCUAUAGAGAUAGAUCUAAAUGAUUGAUUGGAUUAUCUCAAUCCUUGUACAUAGAUAAGGUGUUGAAAAGAUUUCAUAUGGACAAAUCUAAGAAGGGUUUCCUGCCUGUAAGACAUGGCAUUCACCUUUCUAAGAAAAUGUGCCCACAAACGAUUGAGAAAGUGCAAAAGAUGAGCAAGAUCUCAUAUGCAUAAGCAAUUGGGAGCCUCAUGUAUGCGAUGCUAUGCACUAGACCUGAUAUUAGUUAUGGCGUAAGCAUAACAAGUCGAUAUCAGUCUAAUCCAGGUAUGGAACACUAGAAUGCUGUAAAGAAUAUCCUCAAGUACUUGAGAAGGACUAAGGAUUUAUUCCUUGUAUAUGGAGGAGGUGAUUUGCAAUCAGAGUUGCAAGUGGAAGCAUACAUAGACUCAGAUUUUCAAUCUGAUGUGAAUGACAGAAAAUCCACAUCAGGAUUUGUUUUCACCUUGAAUGGAGGUGCAGUAAGUUGGAGGAGCUGCAAGCAAGGCGUUACAGCAGAUUCCACUACUGAGGCAGAAUAUAUUGCAGCUGCAGAGGCUGCAAAGGAAGCAGUUUGGAUAAAAAAGUUCAUUACUGAACUUGAUGUUGUUCCUACCAUUGAGUCACCAAUUUCACUUUACUGUGACAACAAUGGGGCAAUUGCUCAAGCCAAGGAACCAAGGUCUCAUCAAAAAUCCAAACACAUUGAAAGACACUUCCAUAUCAUAAGAGAGAUAGUUAAUCGUGGUGACAUCAACAUUCUCAAAGUAGCAUCUGUUGAUAACAUAGGAGAUCCAUUCACUAAGCUUUUAUCACAAAUUAAGUUAGAACGACAUCUUGAAAAGAUGGGUGUACGUUUCAUGGCUGAUUGGCUUUAGUACAAGUGGGAGAUUGAAGGAGUUGUGUCCUAAAACAAUCAUUUUGAUGUAAUUAUUAUUGUAGUUAUUAUUAAUCAAAAUGGCAAGUUUAUUGUUCAUUGCUUAUAUUUAAUAUUUGAUUGAACAAGGUCCAAGGAAAUUGAGUUAAAGAGAAAGCAAUCUAAAGAGUUAGAUGUAUGAGACCUUUACUCUUUUACACUCUUAUCCUAAAUGUUCAUAGUCAUAGGAUUAUCAUUUGGACAUUGUUAAUCCGGAAAGACUAGCACAUACUAUGUAUGCUCAAUAUGGAGGAUGAUAUGUCUCUUGUCAUUUGUGUAGAGACUACACAGUUUGUUGUUGUAUGUCAUGAGGGGUAUUUAUUAAUACCUGGGACUCAUGGGUACAUGUUGAUUGAAAAAGUGUUGGAUUUGUGGAUCUUAAUUAUUGAUAUAAAUUGCUCUUGUUAUAUAAUUAGUAGUUGGAUGUUUUGUGUUAUUUGAGAAUUACUCAUGCGGGCUUUUUAGCUUACCGAGUUUGUUGUUUACAACCCGGUGCACCAAUUCUUUGUGUAGGGGUUAGACAUGCAUGUGAGGAUCAACAUGGUUGAGGUGGAGGCAUAGGGGCAGAGUUUUUGUUGAGUUUUGCUGUACUAUUUAUAUUUUUAUAUUUGGGGUAGACAGUAUUAAACUCAUGUGAGCGUUUUCAUUUUCUUAACUUUUAAGUUUAUGUAAUUAAGGAAAUGUAAUAUUUAACUCAGUGUUGAGUUGUGUAAUAUUUACAUUUUCCGCAUUGAGUUUAGUUUGCCUUGAAUUUGUGUGAAACAGGUUUUGGGAUUAUAUUAUUUUAAGUUAUAUCAUGCCAAAAUUUUUGAAAAUUAUCCUUCGAAAAUUGGGGCGUGACACUUAUAUAGGUUCAUUAAAUUAUACUAAAAAAUAUUUAAUUUUAUAGAGUAAAACAGAAAAGUUGUUGGAGUUGAGACUCCUAUAUUAUAUAGAUUUUGUGAUUUCGUCUUCUAUAAUAGAAAAUAUGCUCUAAGGGAGAAUCUCUAAUGAAAUGAGUAAACCCAUUUUAUUAUGUAAUUUACUUUUACAAAAAACACUAUUACAAUAGAAAAAUAAUUCCGUAUUCUAAUAAGAUUCUUACUGAUCUUUUAUCUCUUAUCAAUAAAUAACACAUCUCACCAUUCUUUGGCCAUCUCUUAGGCCUCGUUUGGUUCAUGGAUUGGAAAGGUUGAGAAGAGAAAGUUGUUUCUUUCCUUUGUUUGGCACACCUAAGGAAAUGAAAGAUUUUACUACAAUAUGAGAAAAUAUAUGAGAAAUUAGAUCCUCCCACAUACCAUGAGAUUUUAUUUUCCUCAUAUUUUCCUAACAUUAAUUGCAUAUUAAUUGCAUCUUUUAUAAAUUGUUUUAAUGGAUGUUAUUACCACAUAAUCCACAAAACUUUAGAAUCUUAAAUAUUAUAUAUUUUAUUACUAAAGAUAUAAUUGGUAAAUUAAUGUUAAUUGUUUUCCUAUCCAUGCAUAAACCAAACAUUAGAAAAGAAAGUAAAAUACAUUUCCUAGUUACUUUCCUGACUUUCCUAAACAUCUCGUAGGGAAACUAGUGGGAAAUUUUCUAAUAAGUGCUGCUAAAUGUACCCAGUAAAUGCCUAAGUAGACCCAGCAAACUUUAUACACCCGGCAAAAUCAUCAAAUUUCUAUCCACACCCAGCAACAUAUCAAUAAUACCCUUAAGUUCAUAAACCCAACCACUAGAAAUACACGGUUACCGCUGCUGAUGAUAUGGUUGGGUUCCAAACUCGAUUUUGGCAUAGAGCGGCUAUCGUGGUGGUUGCAAAGACGAAAGCCAGAAUUAGCUCUUAUAAAGGAAGAGUCCUAAAUCUAAACUCCUCAUUGUUGAGUAAUUGAAGAUCGACACAAACCUGACUUUUUGUAUGUAUAUUGUGCCCAGAAAGUAUACGGCUGGAGCUUGGUGGAUUAGGAUAUCAACAAAGGGCCUGUCAACUUGUAUGUCUAGUUUCAAGAUUCCAAUUGAAAUGUCAAUAUGCAUGAAUGCAUCUCCUUGAAAUUGUCAGUUGCAGAUUUGCAGUAGCUUUACUACUAGGAGCUAAUCACCUUGAAAUAUCACUAUCUUCUAUUCACGUUGAAAAAUGUGAAAGGUUUUCAAUACAACUCAAUUAAAGAACUAAUCUGUUUACUUUGCUGGGUAUCAUUGGAGUUAUUAAUCCUAUUCUUUUGCUGGGUUUCGUUGGAGAUGUGUAUUGCUGUUUUUUUUUUUUAUUUCGAUAUCGUUCAUUUUGCUGGGUUUCAUCACAGUAAGGGUAUAAUUAGAAAUUACAAAGUUUUAGGGGGUUUGAAAAUGAUGCUGGGUCUACUCAGUUAUUUGCGGUACAUUUAGGCUCUAACAACACCUUUUUCUAAUUUACUUUACAUGAGAAAGAUUAAGGAAUCAAUUUUCUUUGCAUAACCAAACGAGGCCUUAUAUUUACGUUUCUCCGCCUAUAUAAGAAAAUACGAGUCAGAGAAGAGUCAGAGAAGAGUGACGUCCCCAACCGCCGGCAGCCCUAGGGAGAGUGAGAAUUCUGGUUCAGAGAAGAGUCUAGAUGCCAAGUCUAAAGCCUUGAAAUUGAAGGAAAUUCCUUCGAUAAGAAGGCAUUGGCCAUGUUUCAGAAUUACUAUGAGGAGAAAGCAAAGCGUGAGCACAAGGUUAUGGUUCCGCGCCUCUGAUUAGUUUCAUCUAUGUUUUGUUAUUAUCUAAUUGAUAUUGAGAAGUAGCACUACUGAAUUGGAUGCUAAUCAUGCUAUGGUGAUGGUUGUUAUGUUCAGUUUCAUUGCUUCAAGUUUAGUUGUAGUGUGAAUUAGUGGAAUUUUGAAAAGAAAAUCUACAUAAUAAUUUUCUCUAGUUCAUUCCUAUAAGGCAAUUUUAAAUGUAGAGUUUUAAUCAUAUUGCAGUUUCGAUUAACAUCGAAAUUCUGAAAAUAAUCUUCCUGGCCUUGCUGUUAUACUGCAAGCUGCUGCUUUUAGCACCAAUCCUGAUGGACACAGUCUCCAUCAGGUUCUUGUUAUUUCUUCUAUCUUGAUAAUCCUUUUGGGUUAAUUGGAUAUUUUCUUGGUAUGUAAUAGUGAGUCAUGUUGAUCAGAAGUGUGUUUGAUUGAGUAACUUGAGACUGGUUUUAAGUAAAAGAGACCUGGAUUUAGAAAUCGUAGCUCAUAAUGAUCUUUAGUUAGCUUCCUGUUUAGAUUGUAUAAUUAGAUUGGUUUCAGUGUUCUGUGGGAUAAAAUGUUUUUCUUUUAACCAUCCAAACAAAUUUCAGCAAAAUACGGUUGAGAAGUUUUGCCCUGCUUCUGAGUUUGAAACUAUUGUUGCUAUAUGAUGUUGGUCUCUUCUUGAUUCAAGUGAGAGACCAUUCAUGGGAAGAGGAGGUUUGAGGUGCUAUGAAUUACAGUUUGAAAACAUUAUUAGGCAUGAUUAUGAAUUGAGAAACUUUCUAGAGUUAAUUUUUUCCUCUGAAUGAAACUGAUUUCAAUUUCUAAAAACCAUCAAGAUCAAUUGCUAGUUCUCUGCUGGGAGAUCUAUAUUACAAGAUCACCUGACCUACCAAGCUUUGAAUUCAUUUGCCUUACACAGGUACAUUGUGUCAUUGUCACUUUAUCCCAUGUUUAAUGUUCAGUCUUACAAGUCAUAAGUAACUUGUAUCUCUUGAGAAGCUUAGUUCUCAAAUUUGACCUCCUUGUUUUCAACAGAAUGAUUCUGCUUUCUUCAAUAUAAGCCAGCCAAAAUUUUAUGACUGUUUUGGUUGCUUUUACUAAACAUUUCUUAGAAAAAAAAAAAAAAUCCACAUAUUUUUCAGUAAACUUAAUCCAUCACAUUAGUCAUGCUAUAAGGUCAGGGUGUGACAGUGUCUCACCUCGAGCAUAGGUAUAAGGAACGCCAUCUCAAGCAUUAGUAAAAGAGGGAAGGAUACUUUUUACAGACAAACUUAAUGUAAUAUCAGUUAUUAUAUCAUCAACUCAGCUGGAUAAUCAGGCACGAGGAAGCUGUACCUUAUGGGUGAGUCCCUGUACGAGGCGAAGUUAAAUUGGACCACGAAUUCUGGUACAUUGAUGCUUGAAUGAAUUAGGCUUUAGUCAGUAUCCAAAACCCACGGAUGAGUCUAGCGGUGUUUAUUCUUCUACACCUGUUGAUUGUUGUAGACGAGAAUAAGGUUAUCACAAGCUGAUAAAGACAUGUUCAGGGAGGACGGUCUUGUCUUUGUUACACAGGUUCCCCUAUUGUUAUGGUAUCUUUGCUCGCUGUUUAUUUUUUGUUCUGUUUAGGCUACCACAGUUGAUGUGCUUAUAAAUAAACAGUUUUUUGACUGCGCAAAUUGUCUUUAUCUUUUGGUUUAAGUUGUUAGUUUAAUGUCUUGAGAAAUUAUGUUCCUUAUUUUUUGGUGAACUAUUAUCAUUGUACGGGGUACAACCGUACAACUGGGUGAGUGCCUAAAAGGCAAAUAUCCAUGCCGAUUAUCCUGAGCAGUGGCCACGGCUUUUAGACUGAGUGAAGCACAACUUAUAUGACCAACAAGUUUAUGGAGCUUUGUUUGUUUUCUGUAUUCUUUCUAGAGAACAUGAGUAAGUGUAUCAUAAUCUACUAAUCUUAUAAAGUAAUUCUUUUAUAUGGCUACUGCCUGGAGUUACUCUGCUUCUAAUAGAAACUACAAGUUAGCUAGUAGUUUCCCAUCUGAGGCAAACUUUGUGUUUAAUGUGUAUUUGACCACGCUUGUUAUAGAAAUUAAUCAUAAAUUAUGUUAUCUCACAUUGAUGAAAAUAUUAUUAUCUGGUUUCCUGAUAUCUGAAAUGGUCAUCAGACUCUGCGAGUUCAUAUCCAUUCAUACACCAGUUACACUGAGAUAUCUGUCCAUAGUGAUCAGAUUCUACUAGUUCAUAUCCAUUCAUUUACUGUCAAUUAGCUAAUCACUAUUAUUGUUAGAAUGUAGAUGUAUCUAGUAAAAUGAUAGUAAAACCAGGUCCUGUCUGACCUGCUUCAUAGAAAACUAAAUGAUUAUAGUAUUUACCAGAUUUAUUGGAUUUAGGUGUGACAUCAUACAUGAUUUUUGCUGCUUUAUUCGUACCAGGCUAAGAGGAUACUAAAAAGUUAAAGACUGAAAGUCUCCCUAAAACGUAGUUGGAUUAUUCUCCAAAUAAUGAAGUGGGACAUGAAAAAUGUAUCAGGCAUAUUGAACAGAAGUAUUGAGUUGAGUAAAUGUCUUCUGAAUGAUUCAAAGUUUCAAACAAAGUAGGUACUUAAUUCUAUAUGCCAUAUUCAUCAAGUACACAGGUUGGUAGACAAGUAGACAAACCAAACAAUAUCUCCCACAUAGAAUUAUAUAUAUGUGUGUCUGUGUGUUAUAUGUUAUAAAAGCCAAUAAAUUUGAGAGUAUGAUGAAGUGGUAUUCUGUGAUCUCAGAACACAUUUGCUAUAAUGAGAAAGAGAUGCCACUUCUACUUUCAUGCUUAGGAAGAAGCAUUGAUCAGUGAAAGAUGGCUUUUCCUAAGUUCUUAUUCUCACAUGGUGUCCUGUCUUCGAUGCUCUUCAUUUAUGUGUUUAGCUUGUUCUUCUCUUGCAAAUCAUGAAUCCACUGUUUGCGCUGUUAUUUGCUCUGUUAUUGGAGAAGGUUACAUGGACUCCUAGCGACCAUCAGAAAGUUAGUCUGUCACCUUAGUAUGAAACUUUGAACCCAAACAUCUAUUUACAGUCAGACAGGUAAUUUGAGUAAAAGUUUACCGUAACUCUCGGAGAGGUUUCUUCCGGUAAAGACUAUUAAAAACUAUGAGACAGGUUCCUGUCUUUAUUGUCUAUCAUUGUUAUGGGCUUCAUAGUUUUGUAAUGCAAUUUUGGUUUUUAUCAUUUAUCUUUGUAACACCACUUUCUUAGAGGAUAAUAUGAAGAUUCUGGAUAAUAUGCAUUAUCUUAGACUUCAAUGAAUUUCUGAUUUGCAGGGCAAACAUUUUUUUUUAGUUACAACUUACUGCAUAAAAUGAAAUUUCAUUCUGGUCAUAGAGGGAAGGCACAAGGAGUGGGACAGAAACGGAAUUUCUAGUUGGACAAGCAAGACUAUCUAUUCAUUGCAGACUGCUCAGCUUCCCAUGCAUACAGAUCUCCAAAAAAUUGGAUAAGCUCAACUCAUAUAUUGUCUGGGGAGGGAGGGAUACUGAGCAGCAGAGGCAGAUCCACUUGGUUAACUGGGGUGAAGUAUGUAAAACUAAGGCUAAUGGAGGUAAGGGAAUCAAAAAGGAGAGAUGAUCAAUAAGCUAUGUUAGCCAAGGGAAGCUGGAGAUUGAUGCGUGGUAACCAUGGUCGAUCAUAAGUGUAUUAUAAGCUAUUUCGCAAAAAAGUUUGUUUAUUCAUAUUAAAAACCUCAACUCUGUUCUAGCUCUUGGUCUGGUGUUGUUCAUGGAGCCAAUUUGUUGAUGAAAGGUCUCAAAUCGAGGAUUGGUGAAUGAUGCUAAAGAUUUGUUUCUGGAAUGAUAAUUGCUGCUCUUUGUAAUUUAAUGCACCAAACAGGUAUGUAAUGGCUUUGAUAAACCUUAUUUAUUCCAGCAUGGAAUGACUAUCUGCAAAUCUUAAACAUUUUUUUUUUCUGGAAUUCUGCAUUGGAGUAUUUUUCUUUGUUUUUUUUUGCUCUUGGUUUAUAUGGACGUGGAGGGAUUUGGUUUCUCCCUACUUCAGAUGAAAGGAUUUCCCCGAAAUCGGGUAUGCUUUUACCGCUUUAUUUUGAUUACGUGCUUGUAAAUUGGUGCUGCGGUUGCAGAGGCAAAGGUACGUCUUCCGAAACUUCAAUUCUGCAUCUGUGGGAAUGUUCAUAUGGAGGAGUGUUGGCAUAUAGAUGAUUGAUGCAUGUAUUUGUUGUGGUUGACGUGUGGAUUAGAGAAGGAGGAUGGAUAGAUUUUUGCUUCUGAUAUGAUAUAUGUUAUUUUUGAUAUCUGUGGUGUCUGAUCUCCCAAAAUUUAUAAAUUUCGAUUUUGACAUGUUCAUGAUAUCUGAAAGUAUAUGAAUUGUUGUUUUAGUUUAUGUUUUACACAAAGCAUACUUAAACUAUGAAGACACAGGUUAAGAACUCAUGAAAACACUAAAAAUUGUGCUGUAUUAUAAUGUUCUGCUUAUUUUGGCCUUCAAAGAAGUAUUUGAGUAUGAUUUUAUAAUAUAUGCAGUGGUAUGUGUAUAUGCAGGAAUUUAUCAAGAUUUUCUGAAACUUUUCUUAGUCUAAAGGGUUAGACUGUUUUCACUAAAACUAAAUAACGAAUUCUUAUUGUGUAUGGCAUAUCAAUUCAGAAACUACAGCUUUUUGUAAGAAAUUAUGUCACAAAGGCAUUGAUUAAAGAAAGGUUGUCUAUUUUCAAGGGAUGUUAUGCCGAAUUUCCUGUAGCAUCUCCUUUGGUCCCCGCAGAGUUUAUUCCCCUGAAAUCCGAGGUGGGUCCUGACAAUUGUCGCAUGCCCGAAUGCAGUACUGGAACUAAUACUACAUGAAGCCUGCUUACUAUGGAGACCGGCUUGUUGAUUUGGAUGACUCUCUCAAAAUGUUGUUGAAAAGACUAGAGCUGCAACAAGCUAGGGACGUGAAGGUGACAUUGCAUUUGGCAAGGUCCAUUAGAAGAGCAACACUUCGGCCUCCUCCUCCUCCUCCUCUUUCUCCACCAAAACUUAGAGCUAGCUGGAGUAAAAUAUCGGCUUCGUUUAGAAAAAGGGAAAGGAGAAGGAGUAAAAUAUUGGCCUUGAGUCAAGGCAAAAAGAAGAAGAAAAAGAGGCAAGUCCAACAGAAAAAGGGUGAUACCGACGUCCUCUCUCUCUCUCNNNNNNNNNNNNNNNNNNNNUACUCUCUCUCUCUCUCUCUCUCUCUCUCUCUCUCUCUCUCUCUCUCUCUCUCUCUCUCUCUCUCUCUCUCUCCGAAUUCCAGUGUCGACUCUGCUAGAAAGAUGUCGUCCAGCUCCGGUACCGGUUUGUCAUCAGCUUCGACCAAGUACAUGAAUUUUAAAGAAAUCACCGCCACCGUUAGUUUUCUCCCCCAUUUAGCAAUUUUCACAAGAAAAUACUCAUAAAAUUUGGUGGGCUUAAAUUCUCGACUUGAAUUCUAUAUAAAAUAAACGUCAUUUAUCAAUUCAUUUAAUUAAAGUUAGUAUAAAUAUUAAUUCAAUCAAUCGAAUUGAAUUAAAACUCUACGUAAUAAAAUCCAAUCAAUCGAAUUCUCAAUCAAUCAAUAAAAUUUAAAAUUUCCGUGAAAAUUGCAUUUACUACUCUUGAAAUGAGUAGAGACAUAUUCCGUUCCAUUUUUACUUUUACAAAGUUUACUUCUUCUUUUUUUUUUUCUUUUAGAAAAAAAAGAAAAAGGAAAAAACUUAGAGCUAGCAAGGAGUAAAAUAUUGGGCUUGACCGCUUGAGUCGAGGCAAAAAGAAGAAGAAAAAGAGACAAGUCCAAUAGAAAAAGAAAAAGGGUGAUACCGACGCCGUCUCUCUCUCCGAAUCCCAGUGUCGACUCCGCUGGAAAGAUGUCGUCCGGUACCAGUUUGUCAUCAGCUUCGACCAAGUACAGGAAUUUUAAAGAAAUCACGCGCCACCGUUAGUUUUCUCCCCCAUUCACUUCCUCUUUUUCAAUUUCGCGAAUCUAAUAAUUAGAUCAAGAUUAUCUUUUACUUGUAAAAUCGCUGUAUGGCUUGUCAUCUGAAUCAUAUGAUGAUAAGCGACUGUACUUCCUAAUCGAGAAAACUCCAAAUCUACUACAUACUGUUUUUUUUCUUAUUAUUAUUUAUAUAAUCGAUCUGUUUGCGUCAGAUUUUUUAUUAUAAUUUUGCAUAUGCCAAUGAUUGUAUCUGUAUUUGCUGGGAUUAUUAUUAUUAUUAUUAUAUAUUGUUGUUUUCUUUAUGCUGGCUAAUACCGAGACAGUUGUUGUUUUAUAUAUCCUUCGCGAGCUUAGUGACUAAUCGCCUGGUGAUUGACCUGUUUUCCUCUUUUUUAAUAUUCUUUUAUCCCAUAUUUGAUGCGUAGGAUUAUUGAAUGAAAUGCUUCGGUCUUGCAAAACUUGGAACUCAAAAUCAACAUGGAAGGUACGAAAUGUGAUCCAUCUCCUUUUUAUUUUUAAUUUUUACUUUUUAUUUUUAAUUUUUAAUUUGUGAUGUUUAGAAGUAAUUCUCUCUUAUGAUUGACAAUUAUAACAUGGACUAUUUUUGGUUCAUCAAUUUUAAGUUUUCUAGAAUGGAUUUAGUCAAGCAUUUGUAGCACACUGUAAAUGGUGGGGAUGGGGAAAUGCGAGUUAGGAGUCGUUGUAUCUUUUCUUAGUUUGUAAACCCAUCACAGAUUCACGUUGCAAACUCUUGACAUGCAAUUUUAUUUCUUGUCCUUGAAUCCUAUAUUCUGCAGGUACUCGUUAUGGAUGAAUUUACUGUCAAGAUAAUGUCUCACGCAUGCACAGUCGUUGAUACUACAAAUGAAGGUGUUUCAUGUAAGUUUCAAAACGACUCCUCUGCUAUGUUAUUUAGUAUUAUAUUAUCUCAGCUUUCUUCCUAAUCUUUCGAAAAGACUUAUUUGCCAUUUUAAACUUGCGAGGCUUCUUAAUUGUUCUGUUAAGUCUGUCUAUAAGUAAGCAUCAAUUGCUGUUUUUCUUUUUCUUUUUCUUUCUUACAAGUUACUACAAUGAAUUCAUAUUUUCUUGCAGUGCUUGAGCGCAUAGAUAAAAAAAGGCAGCGAUUGCCAUCUAUGGAUGCAAUAUAUUUUAUCCGGCCUUCUAAAGAAAAGUAAUGCUUUUCACACCUUUUGGGUUAUUAUCGCUAUAAUGUCAUUAAGUAAUUGAUAUCUGCUUUAAAAUCGGGAUUCAAGUUCUUCCUUUCUACCCAGCUAACUAACCAUUUAGUUUCACGCCUGUCCACUGUUACAGUUUAGCUUCUCGUUAAUUUUAUUUACUUAUUUUCAUAUUAUUAGGGGUUGUUAUGAGAGCUAAACCCUAUAAUCUAAGCAGUGGGAUCACAACAAAAAGUUGCAAUCUUGGAAGUAUAAUUUUUUAAAUGUGUCACAGUUGCAUUAUUAAGUGGUGUCCAUGGGGCCAAAAUGAUAGAAGUUGGAAAAUGCAAAACAAGCCGGGUAAAUUAGAAGAUCCUAAACGACUUUGACAUUAGCACCGAUCCAAUUCUAUUCCCGUUCAUGUUAGAACUUGUAACACUACCCCUGUGAUCUCAUGUGGAGCUUACACUGUGAUAAAUGAACCAUCAAGAAUGCUAGGAUGUAUUCAUUUGAUCCAAUCCCUUGGUAUUUUCUCAUAAGUAUGCUACCAAUUUGGUGUGUGAACCUGCAAUCGUUAGUACGCUGGCUAUCUAUGCUUUUGAUGUGGUAUUCUCAUUUAGUUUGCUGAUGAAUCUUGCUAAAGAAUUAAAUAAUUGCUGGCCAACUUCAGCUUUUGGGAACAAUUGUUACUAACAGAACUUACAACUGAGAGCUUUAAUCAUACAUCUUUGGAUCAUUAGCAUCCCGUUAUAUGCUGUAUUCCGUGAUUGCUUUUUUAAUGGAGAGGCCCACAUGUGAGAUAUGUAUUACAAUAUAAAACCACUAUUGGUGCACAUCCUAAAAACUUAAGCUUGAUUGAGGGCUGUUGCACUAACAAAGUUCAUCAUAUCACAUGUCUUAAAAGUAAUUAUGGUGGCAAUUUCACCAGAAUAAUGCUUCUUCAGUAAUUCGUUGAUCUUAUGGGUGGAUAUGGAUCCCGUAAAUAUGUGCUUCCUUACUUUUUCUUGAAACAAGCAGUGCUCGUGUUUAUUCUGUAUUUUGAGUAGAAUGUGAAGUAAGAAAUUUCCAGUUGAAAUGAUGUUGUGGCACUAUUGGAAUAUGAACAUAAACAAUUUUAACCUCCUCUCUUUCUGGUGGUGAAAUUGCAGUGUUAGAUUCUUCUUGUCAGACAUGUCGGGAGGCGUACCUUUCUAUAGGAAGUAUGUGCAUGAAUAUCAGUCUUUUCUCUUGCACUAGUUUGUUUAAUUUAUCAUAAGAUGAUAGAAAUAAAUCUUCCUGUUCUCUUUGUAGGGCGUUUGUUUUCUUCACUUCACCGAUAUCCAAGCAUUUGGUUGGGCAGAUCAAGGCGGAUGCAAGUCUAAGAAGCCGCAUAUCUGCAUUGAGUGAGGUGUAAUUCCUUCCCUUGGCACUUAUUUUGUUUUAGAUUGAGAACUCUGCAGAGGCUUAUGUAUCAGCCAGUUAAAUCCUUCUAUUCUUAAACUUGCAGAUGAACCUGGAGUACUAUGCUAUAGAUAGCCAGGUAUUUGUAGUCAAUUUGUUUAGUCCCAUUUGCAUUAUAUGUUUUUUUUUUUUUCUACUUGUAAAUAUUUUAUCAAUUUGGGGUUUGGGGUUAUCACCCACCAAAUUACAUAGAAUUCAAAAUCCUCUCGCCAAAAUAUUUUAACUGAUAAAAAAGAAAGUAAAUUUCCGGUAGUAAAACAAAAUUAAAAUAAAGAUAAUUUAUGCAUGACUUUGUAAUGUGUGAACCGAAUCCACCUAGUCGACUCAUGCCUCUAUUUAAUUUCAAUCGAGAGAAAGGAGUUUGUGAGUCGGAUUGUUAAUCACCUGCCUAGGUUCAUAUCCUGUCAUAAAGAUGUGCAUGGCUUGUUAGAGACAUAAUAUUGUGAACCAAAUCUAAAUUUUAUAUAAAUCCAUUUAAUAAAGAUAGAAAAGAUUUGACAUAAGUCUCAUAGGAAAUUGAAUUUCUUUGCUAGAAUCUGUGGGAAUACACAUACGUUACGCUUAAUUUAGGUCUGCCACAGUUAUCAACAUAGUAUGCUUAAGCUGGAUCAAAUUUUCUGUCUUUGAUUAUUUUUCAUAUGUUCAUCCCUUUUUAGUGAUGUCUGCUUUUCCUUGCAAAGGGUUUUGUUACCAAUAACCAGAGAGCUUUACAGCAGCUGUAUGGGGACAAGGACGAUUCACGCGAAGCUGAAGCAUGUUUGAAUGAGAUGGCUGCACGUGUUGCCACAGUCUUUGCUUCAUUAAGGGUAGAGGUGAUUUUGAUUUUUAAUGUUGAUCAAAGAUUUCAUGAAAAUGUUCUGAACAACACUAGCUAUUCAUUUUUUCAAUUUCAUAGGAACUUCCUGUUGUUCACUACCGAGCUGCCAAUAGGUUUGAUGCCACCGUGGAGACCACUUUUUGUGAUUUGAUUCCUACAAAGCUUGCUGCUGGUAUCUGGGAUUCUCUCAUGCAUUACAAGAGAACAAUUCCAGAUUUCCCUCAGAGAGAAACUUGCGAGUUACUUAUCCUUGACAGAUCCGUGGAUCAGGUCUUUAGCUAUGUGUCUGUCUUUUUUUUAAAAACACAUCAUACUUGAUGCACCCUUGUCUUUAUUAAGUAAUACUCGUCCUUGUCUGACUUUUCAGAUUGCGCCAAUCAUACACGAAUGGACAUAUGAUGCCUUGUGUCAUGACUUGUUAGAAAUGGAAGGAAAUAAAUAUGUUCACGAGGCAAGUAGUAACUUCCCUUUAUGGCAUUUCUUUCGAAGUUCAUGGUCUCACAAAUUUGGGGAAAGUGUAACAUAGAAUUGUACAUACAGGUUGCAAACAUAACUGGUGGUCCUCCUGACAAGAAAGAUGUUCUUCUAGACGAGUGUGAUCCUGUCUGGCUUGAGCUUCGCGAUCGUCAUUUAGGAUUUGUAAGUCUUGUGCCUACACAUCUUUUUGGGAUUUCUUAUGCAUAAAAGCAUCUCUCUUUGUUUUCUUAAUCACAAAUGAAUGACCUUGUCAGGCCUUGGAAUGGUUAAAGUCAGAACUUUCCAGUCUUAAGCAGAAUAAGGUUGCACGAUUCGAAAAUUCAAGGUAUGUGAUUAGUUGCUACAAUCAGCAAACCAACCUUAGUAUGGAAGAUAACUUUAAUGGUGCAAUGGUUCUCAAAUUUAAUUUGGGCUUUAUUGCAAGUACUUUUGGUCAUAAAUGGUCCGAAUCUGUUUCUUGAAUUGUCUAUUACUAACAAGGACUAUAGUGAAGUAGAUCAUCACCAAGAUAGCUACACAUUAAAAUUGGUAGUUGUCAAGAAACCUAUAUUGAAAGUAAUAUAGAAACGAGCCUGGCUGGAUUUUUCUUUUUCAUUUCAUCUGGGGACAUAUAUUACUACAUGGCACUUGUUAGUUUUGCGAGGUAUUGUUGCAUGACGCGGAAUUUGCCUCAUCUGAUGCAUAUGGAUAGUGCUAGGAAUAUCUCUCUGGUCUGCCAACCCUUAUAUAACUUAUGUGGUGAAUACUGAGUUAAGCAUAUUCACAAAGGGUGAUAAUUACAAGGCUCUAGUCCAGUAAUCAAUGUUUGGGACAUAAUAACCAUUUCUGCUAGCAGACUAAACUUUCUCUUUCUUUUUCCAGAUAUUCACUCCUUAGGAAUUAUUUUACUGAUCUGGUGGCUAGUGACUGCUUUUGACAUCUUCCUUGAAUAAACCGAUAAGCUGAACCCUGAGUAGUCUUAUUACUAUUUUUUUGUUAAACAUGUUGAAAUUAAUGUUUUGUUAAACAUGUUAAAUAGAGAUGGGCAAUCUCCUGAGGUAUCCUCGAGGGAAUUGAAAGACAUAACUGAAGCAUUGCCACAGUAUCUUGAACUAAAAGAGAAGCUCUCCCUUCAUAUAGAGGUCAGUUCUUAAAGGUUUUAUUGUCUCAUUUGUAAUGUUCCAAUGUGUUGAAAACUUAAAUUUGUUGUUUCAAGUUGCUGCCAAGUAUUUAUGAAGACGGCAUAUUUUACAGUUAUUGCUUUAUAUGCAUCGAGACAUGCUUCUUAGGUAAGAACGAAGUUAAAUAAAAAAGAAAUAAAAUCAAAUUUUGGUUGCUUUAUAUGCAUUGAGACAUGCCACUUAAGUCGCUUGUCUGCGAUCUUUCUCUAAAUAUUGCUUUUUUCUAGUCUUAAAAUUGCCAAGCCCAUUGGAAAGUAUAAUUAUGGUAAUCAUGAGGUGGAGCAACUGAAUGAUAGCACAUUUAACAGCCAAGAAGUUUAUACUUGAACUUUGAGCAUAGCAACAGUGGCUCAAGAGAAAUAUAUAAUUUUCUUUUCUCCAGAUUGCAUCGAAACUAAACACAAUUGUCAGGAACUUCAAGCUUCCGUUCCUUUCGGAGCUGGAGCAGAGUCUGGUUUAUGGUGAUGCAGGAAUAAGAGAAGUGAUAAUGUUUCUGAGAAUACACGGGGUAAGGAAUUAUGGAAAUACUAAAUUAUGAGCGCACCAGACUCCUUCUCUUUCUAUUUUGUAUAACACUUUUUCUUCAGCCGUCUAUUGGUCGCGAACAUAUGCUGCGCUUGUUGAUGAUUGCUGCUGCCAUUUAUCCUGAGUUUUUGAAGGACGGGGGAUAUUUACAGAUGAUGAUGAAGGUUAGUAGUAGAUGAGUUCAGUUAGCGUAUCUAGUCUCGUUUCUAUUAGUCAGGUGUUAAUUUGUGGUACUGUUUUUCUUCAGCAUGCGAAUUUACUACCCCAGGAUAUGACUGCUGUGAGGAAUAUGAAGUUGAUUGGGAAGGGCCAAGAAGGCUCAUCUGGAAUCUUUCCUAUGAAGUUUGGUAUUGCCAAGGUGAAUGUAUUUAACAGAUACUUUUUUGAGCCUGUUCAGUUUGUUGAUCAAUAUCUCACAAGCAGUUUUUCUAUAAUUAGAGAGAACGGUAUAGGAAAGAGCGUCCAAGAGAAGAUGAAUGGCGUUAUUCGCGGUUUUCUCCGAUGAUAGAGGUACCUUUUUAGCUGGUUUUCAUUUGUACAGUUCCAAGCUUACAAGUAAGCCACUGUUUUUUGAAUUAACUGUACCCUAUCAUACUUUCUCCUUUCAGGAACUCAUAGAAAAGCUUAGCAAUGGUGCACUGUCAGAGGAGUUGUAUCCUUGUGUGAAUCCCAACGCUUGUGUACCGAAAUCGAGGAGGACACCAACGUGGGCCCACCGUCGGACUUCUGAUGAUGGGCUCUCAAGGUAUAUAUCUUGCUCAAUCUUCUUCUACUGUGCACCUAGGUCAUCUAAUCAGAUCACAUGCUGUAGGUCAUCUAAUCAGAUCACAUGCUGAUUUCAUAUUUUAACCUACAUCGUUAGCCUUCCCAAAUGUUCCGCUUUUAUUAUUUUGUUCUUAUAUCUGAGUCCUGCAUGGUCACAAACCCUAUCAAAGUAAUCAGAGCUUCUUGGGUGACUCGUGCAUUUUGGAAAUCUUCCAUAAAUAGAGUAGUGCUUUGUGUCCUUCCAGUGACUAUUCUUGUUUCCUGCUGUGUAUUAAGGUAUGCAUCCAGUGGUUAUGAAAAGAUGGGCCAACGGAUCUUUGUAGUUAUAGUAGGUGGAGCUACUAGAUCAGAGGUAUGAAAGAUGUUCCCUUUCUUCUGAUUUUGAGAAGGUCGUGGAUACUACUUUUCUUAUUCUGUUUAGAACGCAAACGAAAUUUGCUGAGCUUUUAAUUAAUGUAUUCAGCUUAGGGUGUGCCAUAAGCUCACAGCUAAGCUCAAAAGGGAAGUUAUUCUGGGCUCAUCAUCUCUGGACGAUCCUGCAUCUUUUGUUACGGUAUAUUAUGUUUAAAACUUUUGAUCUUCAAAAAGCUUGAUGAUACUUGUGCUGUCCUCAAACAGCUGAUUUGAUAUGCAGAAUCUGAAAAUGAUCACAGCAGAGAACAAGCCGCUCAUGUUGGAUGAUGUACAGAUCUGACUAUGGAAGUUCAACUAAAUUUUUUUUUUUUUUAUUGAGGUCAAUGUAGUUGUUUCUGAUGUCCGAAAGCACCGCAUCAAUAUCUGUUUCCGAAAAUAUGUGAACGGAUCACUUGUAGAACUGUCUCCUUAUCCCAUUAAUUAGGAUUAUGAUACUUGAAUUUACAUAGUUAUCAAAGUAGUACCUAGACUUGAGUUUUUGUAUAUCCGUCAUAUUUAUCAUACCUAGUGUUAAUAUCAACGUCUGAUGCAUAUGACUCUUUAAACGAUGCAAUAAAGACUUAUUUACCCUUUUCAUUUGUUAAACACACGCUUUCUCAUUGAAACAGAUGAAAUCCAAAGCAGUCACCCAUGCAUCAUUGUUCUUAUUUCAUCCAUCUCAUGAAAUUCAACCUCAUGCAAUUAUUGUGUCGAGUAGUUCUACCAUCACUUAUACCCAUUUGAAGCAUCAUAUAUCUCUCAUCUUUGUAUUCUCCUUCGACCACGUUCUGCACACAGGAGAAAUGUUGAAUGGGUACAUACCAUCUCAAGUGUUGGUUAAAUUAUUGAUUAAUCGUUGGAAUGAGUUUCUUCCAAAUUGAAGCUUAAUCCCAUCACAAAUCUCUCUUCUUUUGGAUGGAUUUUUUUGAAAUGGAUUUCUUUCUUUAUUGGAUUAGAAUUUACUGAUGCGUUAGACUUUUAAGGGAACACGAAUGUUUCAACAACAUGAAUGAUUACUGGGUUUUUUUUUCUUUUUUUAUUUGCUGGGUUUAAGAUGUUGAACAUGAAGUCAUGAAGAGUUGAACAGGAGGAGAAGAGUUGAACAUGAGGAGGAAAAGUGCGUGUCUAAGCUGGAUUUGGAGAUGGAGUUUUGGAAGAAGACCCAAAUCCAAAUUCUAAAAGAUAUAGAAGAUUAUAAUAUACAAGUUUCUUUGAUUUCAUGGUCCAAAAGUUUUGAUGGGGAUAAUAUCCAAUCAUGAUGAUCGGAUUAAGAUAUUAGGAUUUAGUAUUUUUUUUUUAUUUUUUUUUAUUUUUAAGAAUGUUUUGUUAACUGAACAAAGUAAAAAGAAAUUUUUCAGAUUUUAUUUUAAAUUUUAAAUUUAUGUAUUUAGGAUGAAUGGACAGAGAAUGUCUGUUCUGCCCUCAUUUUACAACUGAUGUGCCUCACACAUAGUCAACAAUGACGGUGAAUAAACGGAAAUCGACCCCAGGUAUAACGGAUAUACGAAAAUUUAAGUCUAAGAACUACUUUGAUAACUUUGUAAGUUCGGGUAUCAUAUUAUCAGUCACCCAAGUGUUCAGACACUAUUAGUGCAAAAAAUCUCAUUACUUACAUGUAGCAUCUAUUGAUCUGUUUGACCAUAAACCUUAUAUAUUAUGCAGUUCUGCAGGUUCUAGUAUGUAUUGAAGAACAAAAGUACAGUCAAGAAAAAUCUAGCAAGAAUAGAACAGAAUUGGAUUUGGCCUGUGUUAAACUCAACCUCCAAAACUUCAACCUCCUCUUGUGGCAGGUCAUCUUAAUUUUGCAAAUUAAACUCUGCUGUUCAGUGGAAUUUGAUGACAAGGUGUACUCGGUAACUCCUUAGGUUUUCUGCAUAGAGAAGAGAGGGAAAAAACAAAAGUUGCUUGUAUUAUUUGGUUCAAAUUUAUUCUCAACUGCAUCUGUUUGUCAUAAAUCCAAAACUCCAAAAAGUACUGGAAUGUUGUUGGUUCAAAUGUCUGAUAAAUCAGUUCCGAUCAAAAAAGAAAAAGAAAAAGUGUUGAAUGAGACUUGUCAAGCUGGGGCAUAUUUAUAACUUGAUUGAAUCCAUUCUCAUGUGAGUCAUGGGACAAAGUUUCCACAUUUUAGGGUAUAGUACUCUCUCUCUCUCUCNNNNNNNNNNNNNNNNNNNNCUCUCUCUCUCUCUCUCUCUCUCUCUCUCUCUCUCUCUCUCUCUCUCUCUCUCUCUCUCUCAACCUAUCUGUUUGGAAUUAAUAAAUAUGAAGUGCAAGAGAAGUAGUUAGUAUUGUAUAAUCAAGUUUCUCUAUAAAUAGAACGAGAAGCUGCAGAAGAGAAUAUGAUGGUGAAGUUGGAAGACAGUUUUUCUUUAACUAACUGUAGGUUGCAUUAUUUGUUUUCAAUGUGUUUUUUGUUUCUUUAACUUUGUCAGUGUUGCUUCGAUGGAGGAAGAGGGACGGGGAAGAUCAUAUAUCUUACGACCUGAGUAAAUUUUUUCUUCUCAAGAUGAAGUCUAUCACAUCUAAUUGUUUUACUAUUGUAGGCAAUCUACCGACCCACUAGAUGCAACCACCAAUCUCAAAUCAAAACCUUGACUCCACCAGUCACAAAUCUCAAAUCAAAUUCUCGACUUCGCCGGUCAAAUUCACAAAACCUGAAUCUCUGGCUCCACCAGUCAAAUUCACCCAAACACCACAAAUAUCAAAUACCCAAACCAAAUUCAAGGGCUUUAAACCCUCACAAAUAUCCCAAACACAAAUUCAAAAUAAAUGGGUUUGGACACCCACAACUAUCGCUAAUAAAGAAGACACAUACAUUCGAUUGAUUAGCCUUGUAUACACAAGACGUAUUACAUUAGAUCGAUCAUUACAUACAAGCACCCCUAUAGACAAGAUAAUCAUGUUAGCUUAAUCAUUAGGAACAAAUAACCUUUUAUACAUGGUGGUGUCACAUUAGAUCGAUCAUUACAUACAAGCGCCUUUAUAGACAAGAUAAUCACCUUAGCUCGAUCAUUAGGAACAACUAGCCCUACAUACACGAGAUGUAUUGUUAGCUCGAUUAUUAGGAACGAGUAGCCCUAUAUACACAAGAUUUCACAUUUGUUCGAUCAUUAGGAACAAGUAGCUCUAUAUACACAAGAUGUCACAUUUGUGCGUUCAUUAAGAACAUGAUACACCCCGAACCUAGUAAUUAUUUUUAUACUGUGGUUUCCGAUUUAAUGGUAGCUAAUCAAUUCGGAAAUUUGUUCUUUUAUUUUGAUAGAGGUGGUUUAGACGAGUUCAUAGAUUUUUAGUUACCCGAAUAGAAGUUCGUAAAUAAAGGGUAGCUAAAAUAAUAACAAUGUCCAUUUUUGGGUUGGGGUAUAAGAGGGAAACUUACUAUUUUUGGUUAAGGUAGAAAACAAAUGCGCCUCACUCUCUCUCCCCGACCCCGACCCCGACCCCGACUCCGUCCUCGUCCGAUUCUCCUUUAAGGAUCACCGCCGUCCGACAACGCCUGGCCGCCACACCGGUCUUGUUCGACAACUGGGACACCGCUCGUCCAGCCUGGGGUGGUGAUCGGUCCUAACUCGCCAGCAUUAAGGCGCAGUGACGCCGCUGCCGUCGCGCAACUUGCUUUGUCGGAACUUCCUUCUCCGGUCAUUGAUUCUAGCGAUCUUUGGGGGGUUUUGUAGCUCUUCUAUUGGCCUUUCAACCCUCCAAAAGUGGAAGAGCAAUUUGGGGUAUAUAGCCAAAUCGGAGUAGUUUUUGUGUUCUUGAGCUUGUGAGGUAUUUUCCGGUCAAACCUUUGAUUUGUAGGUUUUGUGUUAGUCAUGAUUGUUGUUGUGCUUGUUGAGAAGAAGAGUUUGAUAUAUGCCUUGUUAAUUUUGGUUGAAGUUGAUAUGGCGGUUGACCGCCACUGCCGGUGGCUGCUACCAUACAUGGUAGUGGUUUUGAGGAAUUUUGGUUGAUUUCUAGAAGGGGGUAAUGUUGUUAUAGUGUAUGGUGAUUUUUGGUGAAGGGUUCUUGGAAUUUGGGAUAGUUUUGGUUGCUCUAUGGAUGGGAAGUGAGUUGAAAAGAAGUAUUGAAAAUUUUGGUGAAGGUUGAUUGGGAUUUAGGAAAUUUUUAAGUUGAUUUUGGUGGAGGAGGAGAGGUGAGUCUCAUCCAUAGGAAUUUCUAUAUUUAUAUUUAUGUGUUAGAACGUUGAGGAAAAUUGGAGAAGAUUAGUAAAAAGGGUUGGAGUUCUUCUUAGUCUUUGGAGAGUGUAGAAUGAGUGAGGAUGACAUUGCUCUAUUUUGUUAAAUUUGAUAUUCUUGUAUUUUUGUCUCGGACCUUAAAUCUCGCUUUGUACAAGACGGGAGGAGACACUACGUGAGGAGAGCUUUGACCGACGUCAGACUUAGCGGUCUAUAUAGUGAGUGGACAUUUUGGUUUUUAAUUAAUAUGCAUGCAUGAUUUUAUAAAUGGUUAAUUAUAUUUUCCAAGCUUAAAUUAUGAUUUCAGCUUUCAAAUUGUUAUGAAAUUUAGUUGAGAUUGACAUAUUGAUUGUGAUUUCAUUAAUGAACUUAUGGAUUUGAGCUUGGGUAAAAGAUUUGGUAUUUAAGUUAUAUUAAUCCUAAUGAUUUUUGGAUUUGAGAUUUACAUCAAGGAUUGGAGGUUUGAAAUAUGUUGAUUAUUUGGCUUAAUUAUUACAUUGAGCAUUUUAACGUGUGGGACACGUUAUUAAAUUUAAUUUAUUUCUUUUAUUUUGGAAUUUUUCCGCGUACGAUUGGGAAUCGUAUUUAUGCUUUAGUUAUGAGUUUCAGGGAAACUCAGAUGAAUCGUAUUUAUGCUUUAGUUAUGAGUUUCAGGGAAACUCACAUGAAUUUUUUUUUGGUGUCAUAUUUGUUGGAUUAUAUAUGAUGUCAAUGCUAGCAUGUUGUUCCACUUUUCGAGAUGAUGUGACUUCCACAUUCCAAGUGGGGUCAUGCAAGCCCCACCCUAGUGGUGAUGUGAUGUUGUCGGCGACAUCACGCAAGCCCUGUAUCCUCUCUGUCAACUCGACAUGAAGAUACAUGGAGUAUGGGAGUACUUUGCCUGAGAGACAACCGAGUCUGGGAGACUUACUUAUAUGACCAUAUAGGGUUCUUUUAUUUUUAAGUUGUUAAUUUGACUAUUUGACUAGCGGGGCUUUGAAAGUUUCUUAUAUGAGGAAUCUAUUUAUUUUUCUUGUUGUUUUAUGACUAGUGGGGCUUGUUUGAAUUUUUGAUGAGCUUAUAAUAUUUUCAUGCAUAAUAUUUUCAUGCAUAAUAUUUUCAUGUAUGGAAUUUCUUAAAUUCCGUAUAAAUGGAAAGGCAUAUAAAAUUUAAUUUCGUAUUAUUUUGUUCUUGGUCACUCAUUAAUUAAUUUAUUUUCCGUCCGCUCACACUAACGUUUUAAAUGCUUUUCCCUGGGCCCUUUGUUUUCAUAUGCUCAGAUUGCAGAGUUUCUGUUCGGCUUCACUAAGAGUUGAGGCAUAGUAUCUUCUGCUGCAUCUUGUUGAACGUAGGUUAUCUGUUAAUCUAUGUGUUAAUAUUUUAUUUUCUUCCUGUAGUGCUCUGAUGACCAUGGGGAAAUGUAAAUUAUGUUAGAGUUUUUAAAGGUUAUGACCCAAGUAGAGAGGUUUACUCUGGUGGUUGUUCAUGUUUAUGUAAUGUAGUUGAAUAUUUGGUUUGGAUUGCUUAAGUGUUGUUAUGACUUGGUUCAUGUUGUGAGGAGCGAAGGGCUCCAGGAGUUGUGGUUGAUUAUUAUAGUUGAAGUAUCUUAGUUUUAUUUCAGGUUGGGUUGUCCAUUUUUAGGGUUAUGCCAAAAUUUCAGUAUAAUCUCUUUUAGAGUGGACCCCGCAAGACUUGCAUGUUUUCUUAUGUGUUUUCGGGGUGGGUCUUGUUAGAACAAGUAGCUCUAUAUACUCUUCAAGAGAUGUCACAUUUGUUCAAUCAUUAGGAGAAAGUAGCCUCCUAAGAACAAAGAUAAAAAUAGUAGACUUAACUCAUCUAAAUAGUAGACAUGACUUAUGAUAACAGUAUACUUAACUCAUGUAAAUAGUAGACAUGAGUCAUGAUAAUAGUAACACUCAAAGAACCACUCCAUUGGCCUAACCUCCACUUCCCUUGGAUUGCCAGCGUGUCAUCGCUCUUGGCCGUCAAUUCUAAACUCAACCCUAAAAUCUCGAUCGCUCAUUCAUUUCACAUAAAGCACUACUCUCCAUUGGUCGAUCCCCAUGUCACUUGGAUCGCCACGUGUCAUGCUCUCAGCCGUCCACUCUAUAGCCUAAUUCAAAUCUCAACCGAUCAUUCAUUUCAUACAAAACACUACACUCCAAUUGGCCGAACCACAUAUGACCCGGAUCGCCAGCGUGUCAUCGACACAUUUAUUAUUAGAAAAAUCUAUUGUUUUCAUGAGAACUGUCUACCAUUUACAUGAGCAAAAACACCAAAAAGUAGACUUUCUGGAAAUCAAAAUGGUACUUGUGUUCGAAUAAUUUAGAUGGCAAAAGUUGCAAAAUCUACAACAUAAGCAACAUCUACCAUCUACAUAAACAAAAUCACAAAUAAAUAGACUUUCUGGAAAUUAAAAUGGUUCUUAUGUUCGAAUCACUUAGAUGGCAAAAGUUGCAAAGUCUACAACAAACAUAAGAAACAUUUACUGUUUUAAUAAGAAAGAUCUACCAUUUACAUAAACAAAAUCACAAAGAAGUAGCCUUUCUGGAAAUCAAAAUGGUUCUUGUGUUUGAACCAUUUAGAUGGCAAAAGUUACAAAGUCUACAACUAACAUAAACAACAUAUACUGUUUUAAUUAGAAAAAUCUACCAUUUACAUAAACAAAAUCACAAAGAAAUAGACUUUCUGGAAAUCAAAAUGGUACUUGUGUUCAAACCAUUUAGAUGACAAAAGUUGCAAAGUCUACAACUAACAUAAUAAAACAUCUACCAUUUACAUAAACAAAAUCUCAAAGAAGUAGACUUUCUGGAAAUUAAAAUGGUACUUGUGUUCGAACCAUUUGGAUGGCAUAAGUUGUUAAGUAUACAACUAACAUAAGACAUAUUUACUGUUUUCAUUAGAAAUAUCUACCAUUUACAUAAACAAAAUCACAAAGAAGUAGACUUUCUGGAAAUCAAAAUGGUACUUGUGUUCGAACCAUUUAGAUGGCAAGAGUUGCAAAGUCUACAACUAACAUAAGACACAUCUACUAUUUUCAUUAGAUAUAUCUACACAUAAGCAAAAUCACAAAGAAGUAGACUUUCAGGUAAUCAAAUCGGUACUUGUGUUUGAACCUCUGAAGGAAAAAUUUGCAAAGUCUACAUUUAUCAUUAGAAACAUCUACUGGUUUCAUGAAAAAUAUAUGCAGGGUUGUUUCCCUUUUUUUACACGUUGUUUUUUUGACACAUAAACUACAAUAUAUGUGGCAUAAUAUCAUCACUACAAGGAAUCACUACUCACUAUAGGGUUUUUUUACAUGUAACGUAUGUGUGCCCAGCCUGUUUGCAGUUACGGCAGUGUACAGUUCUCUUUGCAGGUGUUGCUACUAAAGGAGGGUCGUCGCUUCCUAACCCUGCUUCCGCUUUUUCAUGCUCUUUUCUUACCGGACAUGUUUGAAUAUUGUGUCCACCGCCUUUGUAAUAACCACAGGUAACCGUCCGUCUCGAUGGCUCAUUCUUUUUGUCGCUCUUUUCUCUGCCUUUGGUCUUAGAUGGGAUAGGAUCUCUCACAAUGAAACCUUUCUUGGUGGGUGUAGCCGUACCUUGCACUUUUUCUUGAUCUCUCGCCAAACCUUCCAUAAUUGCUGCUAGUCUAUCGAUCUCCAUAUUCAACAUGUUGUAGCCUUCUUGCAUCUUUGAAGCAUAAAAGCACAACCGAUUGCAAUCAGCAGUCAAAGCAUCAUACAUGCUACGACGAAAGAAAAGAAAACAAAUGUGUUCACAGACUAAUAUUACAGGUUCCUAUAUUACAUCUGACGAACCCUUACAUGUGUCCGUAAUUAAAACAACUAAAAUUCAAGCCAUGAACAUACCUACUCACUUGCACGGCUUCUUGGGGCAUUUCUUUGUUUGGAUAUAGGAUUUCACAAACACUUCUUGCGUCCCUCGACCACCUCUUCACUAUUAGUGACUUGUGAAGAUGAAAGAUGUUUUCGUUUUUCAUCACCGAGAACAUGUGACGACACGACACUCCCCUAUACUCAAACAUUCCGCAAGAGCACACCAUAAUCGGGUCUGCUGCACUUUCAGUCUCUUUCCGAGGGUAGUAGGUAACAGUGUGUUCAAAAUCAGGACGCUUGUAAACUGAUACCUUGUAAAGCCGGGAACCAUCUUCUUGACAUUUUGUUCCUUGCUUUAGUGUGAUAUGAGCCUCUUUCAUGAUCUCCCUAAAAAUACACUUAAACACGUCGUGUGUGAAUACAGAAGAUGCUUGUUUCUCCAAAUCUUCCAAGUGAGUUUUCGCACUAUGAAAUGAAUUUAUAGUGUUGAAAUCAUCCCUUUCUUGAUUGUUUCUAAUUCUCAUAAGUGUUCGGUCCACCAACGAAACAACCUGCACAAGGGUUUUGCUUUUCGAUAGGACAAGCUUGAAGUCUUUAUUCAUUCCCUCACACCUUUGUGUGCUUCUCAUGCCAGCCAUAAAUAUAUCAUGGAAGAAUGCUUAACAAAACUUUUCUCUCUUUUCAUACAUACUGUUGAUCCAAUCAUUGUCAUAGAGAUCAAAUUCGUCUAGCAUAUAUAUCCUGCCACAACCUAUCAAAUUGCUCAACCAUUUGAUACUUCCUAAUGCACCUGUUGAAAGCCUUCAACUUUUUCGUUAAUUUUAAGUGGCCAUUAGCAUUUUGACCUAUGUGCCAAAUACAGAGACGAUGCCUUGCUUCCAACAUCAUGGUUUGAAUUGCAGUACGCAUGGCCUCGUCUCCGUCUGUGAUUACAGCCUUUUGCAUUUUCCCGUUCAUCAAAUCCAGGAAUUUUCUAAGCAACCAAGUGUAAGUCUCCACAGUCUCAUCUGAAAGAAGAGCAGCACCGAACACAAUACUACCCCGAUGAUUAUUCGUCCCAACAAACAAAACCAAUGACAUGUUGUAGACAUUGGUUUUGUAAGUGCUGUCGAAUAUCAACACAUCCCCAUAAUAGUCAACAAAUGAAUGCACAUCUCGCCAAAACAUGUCCACCAUCCUAUCUUCUAAAUCUGCCGUGAAUCGGUAGAAGAAGUGAGAGUCUUUUGCUGCCAGUGCAUUCAUAUACGAAAGUGCGCCUUUAGAAUCACUCUCAAAUGGGGCGGUCCUUCGUUGCUGGUCAAUCUUGUUGUAGAGGUCCUUCACGGUAAAUCCCACUCUCCUAUAUCCCCCGCUCUGUUCGACCAUAUACUCAUAGGCGUGACAAGGUCUAAUUGACACCCUUGUCAUCGUAUUUUUUAGAGCCAAAAAUUCCUCGCCAACAUGUCGAUUAGUACGAAUGAAGGGGAUUUGGUUGCUAGUUGUCAGCAUGUGGUUAUGUUGAGGAAUGAAUGCCUUCACCACAUAAACUUUGGUUGCCUCACUAUAUCCAAUCCUCAGUUUAGCUCCGCACAAUGCUCUUGUCUCUCUCCGAGCAUAGCAACUGCUUUCUCAUUGUUCCAAGGACUUGUUUGCUUUUCGGGUUCCUUCCUUGUUGCAGACCCACUCCCUCCUCCGAAUCAAACCAUUAGACUCAGCCUUGUCACCCUUCCUUAUACCAAACCCAACUGCCACAGAAUAGGCAGCAUAGAAACUUUCUGCCUCAUCAACUGUAUUGAAUGUCAUGGCUUCAAUAUCAGAAACAGAAAAGUUUCCAUGUCUUGGGACGUGUACCUUUACAUCCUCAAAACCCGAAGAAGGUUGUUCUUCAUUCUCCGAUGUAUCCAUGGUUGGCUGUUCUUCAUUCCCAGAUGCAUCCAUACUUGUGUUUCAAUCAAUAUUUGCUUAACAAACUAAAUCCAACAAACAACAAACAUAAAGAGAUAUUGAAUCCAUGGUUGGCUGUUCUUCAUUCCAGAUAUUGGUAGACCGAAUUAGAAGACCUUGCUAAUGAUAGUGGUAGACCGAAUUGAAAUGCAAUACUCACCUACAAGAGACGUGAGAGUCUGGGAGUUUGAUCGAUUUGGAUUGAGAAAGCGAGUUUCUCGAAUUGAAUAAACAUAGAGAGAGAGAGAGAGAGAGAGAGGAGAGUUCAAAUCGGAGAGAGAAAGGAGAAGUGAGUCACUCCAUCAAUUUUAUGUUUUAAAUUUUAAAACAGUCAUAUGACCGGCUAAAGGGGUAGCAGGUCAUCAUUAAAAGGAAUGAACGAAUCACAAGCAGCCAUGUGGAUAAGGUAUCCAUACCUUAAGACACACAAGUAUUUGCCAAAAAUGAAAUGGAACCCUAAAACAUUUCUUAUUAUACUAGAAAUCCCAGAAGCCACAACACUUUUGUUGACCAUAACUUCCUUGUACGAAGUCUGUUUUACGUGUACCAUAUGUCUACGAACUCGUAUCGUCGUGCCCUACAACUUUUGUGAAGAAAGUUUCUCGAGAAAUGAUAAGACGUAUUUGCACACGCAUCAAUUAACCCUGUCAACAAAUCAGUCGUAGUAUAAAGCAAGCAGGGAUCGUUCUAAACCGGGGAUCCAACUACAGGGUAGAUCCAUCUAAUCUAAUGUAAAUAUCGAAAUAAGCAUAUAGGUUUAAAGGUUUUAUGAUUUCGGAACAACAUUAAUAAUAAAUCCUAAAUUACUUCUAUACAUAUAUACAUGUGAUCAACCAACAUUCAUGCAAACUCAACCAAACAACCAUGCAAGAAUAAAGAAGACGAUUUCUAAUCUCAUUUAAGUCUACACCGUGAGCAAAUAUACAACCUAAAUUUGAUAUGCACAUAAGUUCCUACGUGGUUCCUAUGACAUAGACCAACUUAGAAUUAGACUACGGGUUUCAUUCAACAUCGCGACACAACAAGCUCGGCUACAUGCUCUACUUAUGGUCACACACANNNNNNNNNNNNNNNNNNNNNNNNNNNNNNNNNNNNNNNNNNNNNNNNNNNNNNNNNNNNNNNNNNNNNNNNNNNNNNNNNNNNNNNNNNNNNNNNNNNNNNNNNNNNNNNNNNNNNNNNNNNNNNNNNNNNNNNNNNNNNNNNNNNNNNNNNNNNNNNNNNNNNNNNNNNNNNNNNNNNNNNNNNNNNNNNNNNNNGCAACUUAUCAACUACGUGUAUCAAAGUCGAACUUUGGAUGAUUAACACAUGCAAUAUCAACUACUUGUAUCAACUACACAUGAUAAUGGAAUAUAGCACCGAAAAUCUUAAAGUAUUUAGACAUAAAACUCACGGCAUAAAACCUCAAAUCAUUGAUUAUAAAUUGUAAACUUUAAUUCAUAACAUGGCUCAAAAGUACUUCUAUCUCAUAGACAAGAAUCAAAACAUACUUAAACAAAUACCUAAAGCAAACAAAAACAAGAACAAACACAUAGUAAUCCGAAAAUAGAAGAUGAAAUACACUCUCAAAAUAUCCCUACUUGUUCUAUUCUUCGAGUGCGCGGAGUCCUAGGCUACGUGCUUUGGACGAAUGCUGAAGGUGGGAUCGGAUUGUGGUGUUUGGAGGUUGAUGGAGUUUCGGCAAAGGCUUUGGUGUUAUUUGCACGGGUUGAUGAUGAUCUUNNNNNNNNNNNNNNNNNNNNNNNNNNNNNNNNNNNNNNNNNNNNNNNNNNUAUAGAGGAAAAACCCUAGAGAAGUCGGCCACAAAGCCUAAACCAAAUUGGUUUAGGAUUCCUAGUUUUUCUCCCUUUCGGCAGAAUGACCUCCGUCUGAUGAUUGCGUCAUAACUCCCUCUAGAAAACAGAUAUUGAGGUGAUUCCAAUUGAUUUGGAAACUAGACUCCCGUAGCUUUCUAUCCAUAUCUGGCACGUUUUCUGAUUCAUUGUGAGCUGUCUUGGAGAGUCCGUUGAAGUUGACAGACGUGCACAGGAAUUCUCCCGAUUUAAUCCGGAUUUUCAAGGGCUUGGAUAUUCUUGAAAUUCUGCCGAAUUUAGAUCUUCUUCUCCAUAUUGGACUUGGUUUGGACCUCUCCUUCAUGGACUAGGCUUCGAGGAAAGAUGGAAUCUUGAUCAAGACAGGAAUCCUGAGUAAACAAGGAUUUCCAACACUUAGCACAAUUUCAACACCACAUUGAUCAAUUCCGAAAUUACUAUGUAUUCUAACAUUAAAAACUACAUAUUUCUAAAUUAAGCAAUUAUUCUAUACUAAACACAAAUAUAAAGCUAAAACAACUAAAUAGGAGUUAACAAAGGGUAAAUAAAGGGUAUAAACAUAUUAAGAACGUCACACUUUGUGCUCCUAUCAAGAAACCCAACAAAUAAAAAGUCAACUCUAUGACCCUUAAAGAAAAUAGAACAGUUUCGGGUAAUUUAUGUGUCCGAACACUUCCGCCCUUCCUUCGAACCUCAAAACACACUAACUUCUAACUUGAAAAUUCUGAAAUAAUAUUAGAAACUAAUAUCAAAUUUUCGGGGUAUUACAUCGAAACUCUGCCUCAGCACUUGAUCUAGAAAUAACUUUAUGUUUUUUUACUACACCAAAGUAACAAGGUUUCCUCCAACAAAUGCAAAAUACUCAGAUGUAGAUCAUAUGUCGAUCUUAUUACCAGCCCAAUCAUCAUAUCUAUGUACCCUACAACCUCCAAAAAUAAUCAUCUUUUUUUAUUCAAACAACAAGCAUCUUUCAUGUGCCAUCUUAAGAUACCUCAAAAUAUGAUAUACUGCAUCCAGACAUAACUUCUAUUGGUGUACAACGAGAAAUACUAAGAAAUUAUAUAAUUUAGUACUUAACUUCUAUUGUUCGGCAAGUAGGCAAACAAGAUGAUCACUAGAUUAGGUGAAAACCCCUAAAAUCCCCGAGGGGCUUCAAAGGGAUACAUCCCAACAAAAAUGAGCCAUAACCCAUCCUAACAAUGAUCUCAUGCACCGACGUAGCCCUGGACAACCUUGAGCGACCAUCCAACUGAUCUUUACACAAAUUGACAGCCCAAAUUUUCUUUCAAGCUUUGAACCAAAUCCAAAGCAAGAGUCUGUCGAAUUGAAAACUCGAAUGAUUCUCGUCCGGCAGCACGACCAUGUGACGUCAGCGUAGUCAAUAGACUAGCCUAGUCAUGCCUGUCGCUGAACGAGGUUAAAAACUCGUUCAUUUAGAAGCCUUUGCAAUCGCUCUAGGGGUUUUGGUUGUUUCAUGUGGUCUCUUUCGUGCUCUUCUUCCUCUUAUUAUUAGUUUGAAGGUUGUAAAUAGGUCUGAGGAAAUAUAUAUUUUUUUUUUUGGAAAACAUAUAUGGGUUUGAGGCAUAUAACUUGUUUGAACAUGUUUGACUGACUUAUUUGAAAUACUGAACUUAUAGUUUAGCACUUUGAUAAACUAUAGUAUUACGGAUAAUAAGUUUUGUAACCAGAGCCACGCCAAAACAGUAUAGUUUCCAAACAAGCGAUGUUUUUAUAUAUUUUUAUAAGAUGUGGUUUUAAAAAAUAAAAAACUGAAGCUCCGGGUUCAAGUUUUGGUUAGUACCUAAAAACCAAACAGUUGAGACCGAGUGCUACCCUAGUUAAGGGCGCAACACUUGCUUACUUCACGUUUACACUUUCCUCUUUGACUCUAAAUGAAAUUAGGAUUAGGUGCUCUUAAUUUUGGCAAUUAGGAUUGUCUUAGAAGAUUUAGUUUGUAAUCCCCAUUGUACUUAUCGGUAAAAAAAACACACACAUGUCGGGUCGGGUCGGAACAGACCUUUUCGGAUCCCUAAACCCUUGCUUCAAAUCAAAAAAACUCUUGUGACUCUCCUUUUCUCUCUGGAGACUGAAAAUGAGGUCUUUGCCGUCUCUGCAACUCCGGCGACUCCUUCUCCGCUCUCUCUCCACCUCCGCCUCUCCUUCUCCAACCUUCAACCAAACCCCCGUCCCAUUUCUCUCAACCAACCCCACCCGCCAUGCCCCCAAUCCAAUCACCACCUCUCACUUCCCCUCUCUUCCCCGUUUCUCUCUCACCUCCAAACCCUUCUCAUCUUCUUCUUCCGAACCCCAGUUAGCCCAAUCCAUCUCCUCUCACCUUCUCCAUCAACCACAACCCGAAUGUGCUGACGUCACCAAAACCCUCCAAUCAAGCUUCCCCAACGUCACCCCUACCCCUUCUCUGGUUCUCUCCGUCCUCAAUCUCUCCGCCGAAGCCGGCCGCGCCGUUCUAGGCUUCAACCAAUGGCUCAUCCACAACCCGAGGUUCGACCACACCGACGAAACCCUCUCCUACUUUGUGGACUAUUUCGGCCGGAGGAAGGAUUUCAAAGCCACCCAUGACGUCAUUCUCAGUUCCCGUGACGUCGCCGGGCCGAAAACCCUGGCUGCCUCCAUUGACAGGCUGGUGAGAGCUGGGAGGCCGGCGCAGGCGGUUUCGAUGUUUGAGAAGAUGGAGGAGGAGUAUGGGAUCAAGAGGGACAAGGCGGCGCUGAGAUUGGUUGUUGAGAAGCUUUGCGAAUACGGAUUUGCGAGUAAUGCUGAGAAGAUGGUGAAAGGUUUGGUGAAUGAGUUUUUCCCUGAUGAGUAUAUGUGUGAUUUGCUUAUUAAGGGGUGGUGUGUGGAUGGGAAGCUUGAUGAGGCUAGGAGAUUGGCUGGGGAGAUGUAUAGGGGAGGCUUCGAGAUUGGGACUAGUGCUUUCAAUGCUAUUCUGGAUUGUGUUUGUAAGCUUUGCAGGAAGAAGGACCCGUUUAGGCUGCAUUCCGAGGCGGAGCAGAUCUUGGUGGAUAUGGACUAUCAUGGGGUGCCGAGAAAUGUGGAGACUUUCAAUGUGCUGAUUACUAAUUUGUGUAAGAUUAGGAAGACCAACGACGCGUUGAAUUUGUUUCAUAGGAUGGGGGAGUGGGGGUGUUCUCCGAACGAGACUACCUUUCUUGAACUGACCAGGAGCUUGUAUCAGGCAGCUCGAGUUGGGGAGGGAGAUGAAAUGAUUGAUAGGAUGAAAUCAGCAGGGUUUGGGGAGGCUCUUGAUAAGAAGGCCUAUUUUGGGUUUCUGAAGAUUUUGUGUGGCAUUGAGAGGAUUGAUCAUGCUUUGUCUGUUUUCAAGAAGAUGAAACAGGAUGGAUGUGAGCCCGGGAUCAAAACUUACGAUCUGCUGAUGGGAAAGUUGUAUGCUCAGAACCGUGCUGAUAGAGCCACUGCCCUGUUUAAUGAGGCGCAAAAGAAAGAGGUGCCUGUGACACACAAGACAUACCAGGUGGAUUCCAAAUACUUGAAGAAGCCGAAGGCUAAGAAGGAAAAUACGAGGGAAACCCUUCCUGAGAAGAUGGCAAGGAAGAGGAGGCGUCUUAAGCAAAUCCGAUUGAGCUUCGUAAAGAAGCCCAAAAAAGGGAUGCGCCGAGCCUACUGAUGUUUUAAAAGUUGGAAUGAACACAUUUGCAUGAGGAAUGAUAGUUUGAUCAGUUCCAAAUUUUUUUGAUGUUUCAUGUUGUUGACUUUGCUCUUUUUGUGCUUUCAUAGUAUUGUUUGAGUUUGUGACAUUAGAAAUAAAAUAUUUCCGUCUAAACUUGUGCCAGACCGUAUUGUACUGCUUAUCUAUCACUAACUAAGUAUACCACAGAAGUGGCAGUUAAGUCUUUGCACACGAGGAGACUGUUGAUGGGAAUGACCGCAUUCUAACUCUUACGAGGACCUUUCAUGGAAAGAGAACCAGUUUUUGAGGUGUGUUCAUCUGAAGCUAUUUUUUUUUUUUUUUCUUUGUUCCUGAUUCACUUAAUUAUAGGGCUUAAGCCUUAAGAGAUAAAUGCCAAAAGGAACAUAAGUCUUGAGAGAUGUUUUAUGUUGUGCUUAAGUCUUAAGAGAUGAAUGCCUAAAGGAAAAUAAGUCUUGAGAGAUGUUUCAUGUUGUGAGAUAUCAAUGACAGCUGUUUCUAUGUACUCUAUUCAUAGGUUUGCUAGAGUUUUUAGCUGUCUUCUCUCUUCUUGCAAACAUAAUUAUAUCCUUGCGCUUGUUUUCUUUUGUCAGACCCUUAAUUUUUGCAUACGAAGUUUUGCUUUUUAUGUGACUUUGCACCCAGGACAUUAUUAUUAAGACAUGCCCAUAUAGAAUUGAAAGAAAAAUUAAAAGUGUGUAAGCUUUGAAGGCAGCCCUGCUUCUUCCCUUCUAAUAAUACCAGGGCUGCAGUUUGUUAGUCAUAUAAUUCCCAAAUGAAGUAACCAAUCGGUCAUUUUGAGUAGUAAAUUUCAACAUCUAAAAUUUGACAUGGAAAGCUGCAGGUUUUAGGUUGAUCAUUGUGGAUCAAACUGAAACAUAACAAUCUGUUGAUAGAAACCACAAGGUACUCUGAGUAACUGUCAUACAUGCAUAUUGAUUGAGUUUUUAUUGAAUAUUAUUAUGCACGCACUAUUGGAUUAUGUGGUUAGUGUAGUUAAUAUAUCAUCAGCGAUUCAACGCUACUGAGAAAUAUUAUUGUGAUUUAGGACUUUAGGAAUGAGAGUUAUGUCUUAUUAGGCUCCCUGCAAACAUAGAGUUCCCCAGGAAGAGUUCCAAGGCUGUACUACUGACUUUGCCAUUGAACACACACACUUAUUCUUCCGAUUUUCUUUUUGUAUUUCUUUUAUAGUUGUUACAGCAGAUAGGUCUGCGAGUUAUUGUAUCGGAACUUUAUUUUACUUUCGAUCACCAUUCUUGAUCAAAUUUAGAACGGAAUUCUCUCAUUUCUUGUGAGCUGUUAUAGUAUUGCACAUGUGAAUUCCUUAAUCUAGGGAUAUGUUGGUCCUGGUAUUGAUGUGGUUUAUCUUUUACUAAAGCUCGCGGUAUUUAACAGAGUUUUGCAAGUCGUAGCAUUGAACUAUUUUUUUUUUUUUUUAAUCUUUUUCAAUGUGGCAAGGUGGUAACUUAAUUCUUAAAUUAGAUCAGAACUUAAGAAUGCAUACUUCUGCACUAGUGAUGUACUUGGAUUUGAUGGUACAACUGAAAAUAUAUCAGAACAUGUAGUUUCAGUGUUUCACUGCGAUUUAGAAAGGAAUUGUUACAAUUAUUGACUCCCGCCAUUUAGAAAGGACCUGUCACAUUGAGAUUCUUCUACUAGUGAGGAAUCCUGUUGAGUUUCACCUUCCCUAUAAUCUAGUUGUCAAUUUAGCAAGACUGAAGUUCCUUUCUGCUACUUGAUCCUCCUUUCUGAUGUUUUCAACACCUGAACCUACUAAAACCACCACCCAUCACACAAAUUGGGUGACUUUUUACCCUUCACUAUGUGCUCUGGAAUUGUGUCAGUUAAAAUCGAAAUAAUUACUGAGGUUGGGUUCUCACGUGAAAUCUACUUGCCCAAACAGACUAGCCUAAAUUUCAGAGGUGCCUUAGUUAGUAGAGUACCCCAACAGAAUGUUUAGAGCAUCAAUUGUUGGUUGUAGCUUGCAAGUUAUAUUUAGACUUUUGGAUAUUUUGUGUGGCUGUGUUCUUCAGUUCUUCAUUCUUAGUAAUCAGUUUAAGAACCACAUUAAAAUGUAGUAUGAUGCAUUUUAUUGUCCUUUCAGUUUAAGGACAAUGUUACUGCGCUUGGUGAAAUCGGAACAGGAAAAAGAAGGAUGUGAUGGCGAAUGUUGGUUAUAAGUGAAAAUGGUGGGAAUGAUCAUGGGAUUUUGGAUUUUGCAGGUGGAGGUGUUGUUAUGUUGAAUGACGGAGGUGGUGGCAGUGAUGACACUCUUGUAGAUGGUGAGACUGCUUGUAGGUGAACACAGUGCAUUUAAGUAACAAUCAUAGGAGUUUCAUGUGGCUUAGAGUUGUUGCAGUGGUGCUUAAGAGCUUCAAGUUUGUUCCUUUAGGGUCUCAAUAGUCUUGGAGUCUUGGACCUGGAUGGGUAAUUGGCUGUGUUAGUUUAGGGAGACAGAAAGCUACGUGUAGCCAGGGCUUGUAUGUUUUAGGGUUUCAAUAGUCUCCGGGUACACUUCUUGAUGUGCAAAUUCAUGUGCAAGUUUAUGCGAUGUCUUAAUGUUUGUUCUGCAACUAGUCAAAGACACAACAAUUACUAAAAUCACUGUAACUAUGAUAUCAAUAACGAUUUAUAAUAGGGUUUGUGAAGCUGAACAAGCACAUCUGGAGAACAAUGAUGAAAUGAAAUCAAAUUCAGCAUCUGUUUGUUGGGGAAGGAACUCCGACCUCCCAAAGUACACUCAACAUGAUUGGUGCCACAGAGUUGGAUGCCAUAUUAUUAUAAACAAUAUCAAAUAGCAAGUGUAGAAUAUUUGUAAAUAAUUACUUUCCUUGUAUGUGUAGGUUAAAUAUUUUAUAUAGAUGUAGGAGAUAUUUUUCCUAUUAGCAUUAUAAUUGUAUCUCUAUAUAAACCUCUAAUAUGAAGACGAAUACAUAUUGAAGCAUUUCAAAUCAUAUUGAAUCCUUAUUUUCUACUUGGUAUCAGAGCUUGUCAGGUUCGAUUUUUUCAAUUUACACCUAAAACACCACAAAUCGCUGUGUACCAAAAACCUCACAGAUCACACAAAUUCUCAAAGCCCAAAACCAAACCUAAAUCCCAAAUCACACCAUAAACAAAUCGUUGCAUACAUCAAAAUCAUAAUUCCUGAAUCCUUGAAUCUCAAAAACCAAACCUCCAAAAAUGGCACACCAAAUCAACUACCAUACCAUCGCACCAUGCCGGUCUCCAUGCAAACCAAAUUCAUAUGCGACCUCAAAAUGUCCGCUAUGUGGAGUAUUAGGUCAUAGCAAGCAACAUUGCUUUGAAACAAUUGGGUACCAGGAUUGGUGGGAUUUCACCCUGAAACCCCGGAAGAAUCAAGCAAAAGUUGUCAUAACCACUACAGAGAAAGACCAACCAUCCAAUGCCUCCAAUGUCACACAGUCAAAUAUGAGUGGUAAGGUAUCUAUGAAUAGGUCCUGGAUUAUUGAUACAUAAGCAUCAGAUCACAUAUGUAAUGAUCCUAGCCUCUUGAAAACAUUAAAACCCUCUCAAAAUAUUGUUUCUACCGCUGAUGGUACUCCAACUCCUGUUACCGGAAAAGGCUCUAUUGUCCUAUCAAAUACAUUAACCAUUGAUUCUGUAUUAGUCGUCCCUUCAUUGUCAUACAAUCUUCUCUCAGUUGGUCAAAUCAUUCAAGAAUUAUCAUGUAUUGUCAUCUUUUAUCCGUCUUUCUGUGUAUUUCAGGACAUUCUAACACGGCGGAUUUUGGGUUAUGGAGUGAGAAAAGGGAAAUUGUACUACCUAGAUCUGACAGAGGCAGGAGAGAAACAUAUGCAGUCUUUGGGUCAAGCUAAUCAUGUCAAUAGAGAUGAGAGUGCUACGAAAGAUGUAUGGCUUUGGCACCGCAGGUUGGGUCAUCUAAACUUCAGUUAUCUUAAGAAGCUGCAACCGCAAUUAUUUUCGGGUGUCGACUAUUCAGAUUUUCAUUGCGACAUAUGUGAACUGGCCAAGAGCCACCGUAUUUCAUAUUCACCAAGCCUAAAUAAAAGUCUUGUUCCAUUUAUGAAGAUUCACUCUGACGUGUGGGGUCCUGCAGAAAUUCCUUCUCUCUCUAGCGCCCGGUAUUUUGUGACGUUUAUUGAUGAUUGUACCCGUACGACUUGGGUGUCUCUAUUGAAGAACAAGAGUGAUGUUUAUUCUAGAUUCAAAGAAUUUCACAAGAUGGUGGCCACACAGUAUCAACAGGUUGUUCGAGUUUUCCAGUCUGACAAUGGCGAAGAAUAUAUUAAUGGUCCUAUGCAAGAGUUUAUGAAGUUACAUGGAAUUCGACAUCAGACUUCAAAUACUUAUACUCCUCAGCAAAAUGGAUUGGCAGAGAGGAAAAAUCGGCAGUUGCUUGAAGUUGUCCGUGCCUCUUUGUUUGGCAUGAAUGUACCUGUAGAAUAUUGGGGAGAAGCUGUGACAUCUGCUGCCUACCUCAUUAAUCGUACCCCUUCUCGGGUUAUUGAAUGUGAAAACCCUCUACAACAGCUUCAAAAUCUUCUCUCGGUUCCUUCGUCGCCUAACUUGGAGCCUCGUGUAUUUGGAUGUACAGUGUAUGUUCAUAUCCAAAACAACAACGGAGUAAGCUUGAUCCCCGUGCAAGGAAGUGUAUCUUUGUGGGUUAUGCAGAUUUUCAAAAAGGAUAUAGAUGUUAUGAUCCUCUUACAGACACCAUGCAUGUAUCUCUUGAUGUUUCUUUUCGUGAAUCUAAGCCUUACUACUCAGGGGGAGUAUCUGAGUCUUCCCUUCAGGGGGAGAAAGGUUGUGAAGGGAAUUCUAGACAUUUAUUUGAGUUUGAAGAAUUUGAAGAGUUGGAAACUCUGGAGUCCAGAUUUGGAAUUGACAAAGUUACAAACAAUAAUAGUCAUGGAAUUGAUGCACAUGACGCAGAUGUCACAUGGUGGCCGACAUGAGGACCCCACCAGCUGAGCCGCACAUCUCUGAGCCAAGCCAAGGUUCUUCAGGUGGAGAAACACAUGGAACCCGUGUCUAUGCUGAGCCGCGCAUCCCUGAGCCGAGUCGACCAAGCCAAGCUGGGACCCCAACUGAAGAGGCAAUUGCACGUGUCGACAGUGACACUGGUCCCGCUCUUCAGCUGACCUCUGAUCCUCCGACGCGUGUCAACAGCGACACCGGUUCUACACUUGUCCCUGCAACAGUCUCGAGACCCACAGAUUUGACAGAAAAUUGUCCUGAAAAUGCUUCGUCAGAUAUUUUCCCUUUCUCAACACCAUUAACCCAAGAAUCUGCUGCGAAUGUCCCUCCUCAGGUACCUUUAAAUUCAAACCAAUUAUAUGAGGUAGAUAAUUCUGUAACUAGGAAAUCACAAAGGGUCACCAAGGGUAUUCCAAAGAAACAAUAUGAACCAGACAUCAAAGCCAAAGCUAAAUAUCCUAUAGCUAAUUACAUGUCUAAUCAUAGGUUGGUUGGGUCACAUGCUCUUGUCAUUAAUCAAUUAUCCAGUGUUUCUAUUGCUAGUAUUGUACAGGAUGCAAUGACGGAUCCCAAGUGGACUCAGGCGAUGAACGAAGAAUUAGAGGCAUUACAGAAAAACUCGACUUGGGAUAUUGUGCCUAAACCAGCUGGGAAGAAGACAGUUGGAUGUCGUUGUGUAUUCACCGUAAAAUUGAAAGCAGAUGGGAGCAUUGACAGGUAUAAAGCACGGUUGGUUGCCAAGGGAUACACCCAGCGGUAUGGCAUUGAUUAUGAAGAAACGUUUGCGUCUGUAGCAAAGAUCAACACUGUACGAAUCUUGAUUUCACUUGCAGCAACUAAAGAUUGGCCUCUGUGACAAUUUGAUGUGAAGAAUGCUUUCCUCAAUGGAAACUUGGAGGAAGAGGUGUAUAUGGACAUGCCUCCAGGAGUCAAAAGUAGACCGUGUGAUGCUGGCAAGGUUUGUAAGUUGAAGAAGUCCUUGUAUGGUUUGAAGCAAUCUCCUAGAGCUUGGUUUGGAAGAUUCUCCAAAUCAAUGAAGACAUUUGGUUAUAAACAAAGCAACUUGGAUCACACUUUGUUCAUCAAGCGUAACCAGGGUAAGAUCACCGCUCUGAUUGUGUAUGUUGAUGAUAUGAUUGUCACAGGGGAUGACCCAAAGGAGAUGGAGGCUCUACAAAAGUAUCUUUCAAAGGAGUUUGAGAUGAAGGACCUUGGACAGUUGAAGUAUUUUCUCGGAAUUGAAGUUGCAAGGUCAAAGAAUGGAAUUUCUUUAUCCCAGCGAAAGUAUGUACUUGACUUGUUAGCUGAAACCGGCAUGCUUGACUGCAAGCCUGUUGAGACACCAAUUGAGAUGAAUCACAACCUUGCCAUCUAUCCAAAUCAAGUUCCAACUGAUAAACGAAGGUACCAACGUCUAGUAGGGAGACUUAUUUAUCUUUCUCAUACUAGACCUGAUAUUGCUUAUGUUGUGAGUGUGCUUAGUCAAUUUAUGCAUUAUCCCAACGAAGAGCAUAUGGAUGCAGUGUAUUGUAUUCUAAAGUAUCUUAAGAUGGCACCUGGAAAAGGUUUGUUGUUUGAAAAGAAGAGGGGUGAAUUGGAAGUUGUAGGGUACACCGAUGUUGAUUGGGCUGGUGAUAAGACAGACAGACGAUCUACAUCUGGGUAUUUUACAUUUGUUGGAGGAAACCUUGUAACUUGGCAUAGUAAGAAACAGAAGGUUGUUGCCAGGUCAAGUGCUGAAGCAGAAUUUCGAGGUAUGGCACAUGAAGUUUGUGAGAUGUUAUGGAUUCGUAAUGUGUUGAAAGAAUUGGGUUUUAAACUCAAACAACCUAUGGCCUUGCAUUGUGAUAACACGUCUGCAAUUGAAAUUUCUCAUAAUCUUGUUGAACAUGACCGGACCAAACAUGUGGAGGUAGAUCGGCAUUUUAUCAAGGAAAACUUGGACAGGAAAAUAAUAUGUUUCCCUUUUGUGUAUACAGAAGACCAAUUGGCAGAUGUUCUUACGAAAAGAGUAUCAAGGAAAGUGUUUGACGACUCAGUUGGCAAGUUGGGCAUGAUUGAUAUCUAUGCACCAACUUGAGGGGGAGUGUAGAAUAUUUGUAAAUAAUUACUUUUCUUGUAUGUGUAGGUUAAAUAUUUUGUAUAAAUGUAGGAGAUAUUUUUCAUAUUAGCACUACAAUUGUAUCUCUAUAUAAACCUCCAAUAUGAAGAAGAAUACAUAUUGAAGCAUUCCAAAUCAUAUUGAAUCCUUAUUUUCUACUCAAGGAGGAGAGCGAGCUAGCAGAGACCAUUAAUUGGUGGCAGAAUCCAAGUUGCAGGUUCUGAUAUGUGCUCUUCUGAAGAAUGCUGAGGGUGACAUUGUAGAGGAGCAGUAGUUCCCUGCUCUAAAUAGAAAAUCCCCAUAUCACAUUGGCAACAACUAUUAAAAUUUAGAUAAGCAUCUUCCAUAGUUAUCAAAUCACUUGUGCACUGUAUGGAGUUUGGUCUGCACCAAGAGAAUCUUGAGGCCGAAACAGACAUUGACUGAUUGUCACCAACAAACAGAGUCUGAUCUCCAAGGGUUUUCACUUGCUGCACAACAUAUUUACUGUCAUCAAAUACCAACUUGUAAACCUCGAAAGUGAGAGUCACAAGCAUUGUCAACUGACCCCAUUCUCUUUGUAAAAUCUUCGAACGUGCAAAAGCUCUCCUGUAGUUGAUUCCACAAGAUAUGAUUGAGAACCUGAGCGCAUGUAAGUAGUAGUAUUAUCAUUGCCCUUAGUGAAUUACCAGAAAUGUAGCUAUUAACACCGAAGGACACGAUUCUUCCAAGAUUCUUGUCAAACUGCGUAUACCAGACCUUUAUAGAAGUAGAUAGCAUCAGUAAUUUUGCAUACUGUUCAACUGUUUCUAUGGAACUCCAAAGCAAUUGCCCUCCUCUAAUGAAAGCAAGGUGUAAAAUGGUACAACCAUAAAAAUGUUGCCCCAAUUAACAAAAGGAUCCCCUAACAAGAUGAGCUUUGAGAACUGCCCAUCUAGGAAAAAAAAUUAUAGAUACUUAAAUGAGCCCUUUUCUCAAUAUCACGAGUAUGGCACUAUGGCUACAAAGUGUGAGCAUAGAUAAUAUCAAUAGAGGGUUUUCAAAAUCUCUAGCUUUACUUCAUCUGGUCUGUUUCAAAUCGUAUUCAUAAUUCAUGCAAGAGAUUCAUGUGGAAUGCUUAUUGCUAUAGACUAUGGUAAAAGGUGCAUAAAUUUUUGGUAAAAUAUAUAUAGAGAGAGAGAGAGGAAAUUUUACUAAGGAUAUUCAUGUCGUCGCUGAAUCGGUGUGGGCUUGAGGAUCUUCUUCUGCUACUCGGUCUCCUUCUAAGUGCUGAGCUUUUAAGCUAUCGGUGAAAAAUAAACACGACGGGUGAGCGGCACCAAAAUGUAUUGUUUUUCCCUCAUUAUGUUUAACGGUCUCAACUCUAAUUGGCGGUUGGCGGGUUUUGCUUCCAGAGAAGGCUUACGGUCCACUUUGCAAGAUUGCCAAGGUUGAAUUGUCAGGCAGCGGGGGGUGGGGUUGUCCUCAUACGUUCGCCUAAAUCAUAAACUUUUUUUUCCAAAAGAAUCUCUCUACGGUGUUCAUAUCGUCUUGACUCAAAUUCUCACAGGGUAUAUCACUCGCCCAAACACCCAACCAUAUCAUAUAUGGGAGUUACGUUUACACUAUCAAAGACCUUGUUUAACAAUAUAAUUUGUAAACUUUUUGAUGCCUGCUCGAUCAUAGUCGAAAAAUCCAAUCGUUGGAAACCCAAAAUUGUCUUAAGAAUCUUUUGAUGGACAUGUCGGGCGUUCCCAUUCCAGUGAUGAUUAUGUAUGGAUAAUCAACAUAAAACUUACUUUACAUGAUCAUAAAACAUCAUCUGUAAUGAUCUCGUUCAAAGUAAGUUUUAUGUAGAUUAUCCAUAUGCAUAAUCAUCACAGGAAAGGGAAUGCCGGACGUGGCGACCAAGGGCUUCUUUAAGCUAUUGUGGGACAAUUUGGGCUUCCAGCGUAUGGGCUCUUCGACUGUGAUCCAGGAGACAUCAGAAUGUUUACAAAUUAUUAUGUUGGGAUGUAUAACAAGGUAUUCGAUAGUGUAAACUUAACUUGCCCUCUUAUCUAACAUGGUUGGGUGUUUGAUAUACCUUGCGAGAACUUGAGUCAAGACUAAGAACGCAGAGAUUCACUUGAACUCUUAUUUAUAAAGCUAGGUUCUCUGUUACUUUCGUAUUAGGAAUAUCAAAUUUCUAUUCGGAUUAGGACAAGAUUCUCCUAACCAAAUAAUAAAAUCGAUUCCUUAUGUGAUCUUGAAAUCAAGAAUAUCAUAUUUCUAUCCGGAUUAGGACAAGAUUCUCCUAACUGAAUAAUGAAAUUGAUUCCUUAUGUGAUCCUGAAAUCUUCAGCCAUCAAUUACCCAAUAAGAAAGUAAAAGAUAUUUAGACUGCAUGUAUCGGUCCGCGUAUCAGAAAUUCAUAAUAAACUUAGAUACGAUAUUUAGGCAAAGUCACUAGUUUUACUUCAUCUAGUCUAUUUCAAAUCAUAUUCAUAAUUCAUGCAAGAGAUUAGAGGUUUUUUUUUUUGGAGCGGCUAGUUCUAUCCCACUAAAUGCUUAGUUCACCUUACAACUGCCAUUUUUUGUGAAUAUUCCCUUGUUGCCCUUACGUAAAAUAUUUAAAAAGUAAGAAAAUAGAACAAAUGGCCGGAAUGUCAUAACAUCAUAUCUGUAGCAAACCAUAUAUAGCCAAUGUUGCUGCACGCAGAUGUACUUUAUCAGCCGGUGGUGGGGGACGUGCAGCCAACCAAGUCCUUGGUCUAUGAGGUCAAGUUGCUGAGGCGCAUAUCAAGCGUGGUCUGUGCACGGCUGCCUUGGAGCCAAUUUGAUCAUCUAUUGCAUGUCCCAAAGCUUCAAAAGUUUAUUCCUUGUCAUUGUUAUGCUUAGCCACUAUAUGCAUGCCUACAAUGAGUCAAUAAUAGCAAUACCAUAAGUGAAUUUGAUUAAUCGAAUAUACUUUGCAUAAGGUAUAUGGAUCGUAAGUUCUUGAUGAAUAUGUACCCUAAUAUCAUUGGUGCAGGUUGAUCUUA